AACGAAGACAAACAGGGAGAUGAAGAUGAAACACAGAGACAUAAAAGAGUCGCUUAGGGAAAUGAUAAAGAGAAGGGAGAAGGCAAUUAAAGCAGGGGAAGAGAGCAAUGAGGACUUGUUGGACAUACUUGUGGAAUCCAAUAUCAGAGAAAUGGAAGCAAAGAAUAUGGGGAUGAGCAUUGAGGAUGUGAUUGAGGAAUGCAAGCUGUUUUACUUUGCUGGCCAAGAGACCACUUCGGUCUUACUGGUGUGGACUAUGGUUUUAUUAGCAAGGUAUCCCGAUUGGCAAAGUAAAGCAAGAGAGGAGGUUUUGCAUGUUUUGGGUGACAAUAAACCUGAUGCUGAUGGCCUUAAUCGUCUCAAAGUUGUAAGUCCCUAGCAUGUCUUUUGAAGGUCCGAUCAAUGAGGUCGACAACUCAAAAACUUUGUUUCUUUUUUCGCUAAUUCUACAGGUAACGAUGAUAUUGUACGAGGUUCUAAGGCUGUACCCACCGGUGGUUGAGCUAGGACGUUCCGUUCCAAAAGAAAUAAAACUGGGGAAUUUGUUGUUACCAGUAGGAACAGAAGUUUCGGUUCCGAUCCUGCAGAUCCACCAUGACAAAGAUCUUUGGGGUAACGACGCACGGGAAUUUAAGCCAGAGCGGUUCGCGGAAGGGGUUUCCAAAGCAACAAAGAGUCAAGUCACGUUUCUGCCAUUCGGAUGGGGUCCUAGGAUCUGUAUUGGCCAAAAUUUUGCUUUGAUGGAAGCCAAAAUGGCGAUGGCUAUGAUUCUCCAACGCUUCUGGUUCGAGCUUUCCCCUUCCUAUGCUCACUCUCCUUACAGCAGGGGAACUCUUCGUCCACAGCAUGGUGCACAGAUAAUUUUACAUAAACUUGGCUGUAAUUGAAUUGUUAUGUAAACAAAUCUUUGUGAAAACAUAGCGUUUUAGUGUAUCGUCAAAGUCCGGUGUCUGUAAUGGUACAAAUUCGAUGCAUGAAUAGUAAAUUUUGAGAUGUUUGGUGAAGUCCGAAAUAAUAUGCAGAAAUUGAGCGUCUAUGGUGGACAUAGUUGAGGGACUAAUGUGGUAAUUAUCAAUCAAAUAAUUCGGUACAAAGACUUGUAUGGAAAUUAAAGCAGGGGGAGUUGAAAAUGACUACUCUGCUUUGGGCAUCAAUUUAGAAAGAUUUAAAGUACAACUGUGUUAUCAGUUAAGGGAUUUGUUUUAAAGAGGGAAUGACAAUUAAACCUCAUGGUUUAUUUGUGCAAGGGAACCGAUGAUGGGAUGAUUAUUCUUAGUGGUAAAAAAAACCAUUAUGGAGGUUAUUACACUUGUUAUCAUCAGCUUAAAAUUCGAAUGGGUUCAAGUCGGAUUAUAUCGAGCUUGUAAGAUGAGUUCACGGACCAAGUUUGCAUAAUAAAAUACCUAAAUGAAAAAAAAUUCUAUUUUAGAGGGACGAGAGCCCCUAUCAACUCCCGGCUCAGCCACUAAACAAUACCUAUAUCAUAUAAAUAAAUACCACCAUCUAAAAGACUCAAAGAAAAACACUCAACAAAGGAUAAAUAGAUAGAUGUUGGAUAAGUGUCCAAAAUAUGAUUUAAGUGAAGAUACAUGUGGUAGGUGUUACGGAAAUGUGAAGACAAGAAUCCCACUAACGUAUGGGAUGUGUGCAGUUGAAUGUAGGGAGCAAAAAGAGGAGUGAAUCAUUUUGGUAACAUUUGGACAAGAAACAUAAUGAACAAAAUGGAAGGAGAGGAAGCUAGUAAAAGAAUUUUUUUGGGUCAUAUAAUUUGUUCAUUUUGGAGUUGAAUUAUAAUUUUUUUAUAUAUUAUUUUAAAAUUUUAAGGAGUUAAAACAAAAUUAUUUUAUUUUCAGAUGGUCAAAGUAGAGGUGAUAAUGGGUUGGGCUAUUCGGCCCGGCCUGACGAUUCACUCGAAAAAUAGGAGGGUUUAGGUAAAAAUAUAGGCUCGAAAUAGGGAUUUGAGCAAAAAAAGAGUCCCGUUUAGAAAAUGGGCCAGGCCUCGGGUAAAAUUUUUUGGGCCCAAGCCUGACCUGAAUUAUAUAUUAAAUAUAUUUUUUAAUUUUUAAUCAAAUAUACUUUUUUUUAUUAAUUUGGUUAUUAUUUUAGUUCUAAUUUGUUUCAAUUUUAAUAUAACCACUUUUUAUUAUAUUUUCAAUUUGUGUAUUGUUUUAAGAAUUGUUUUAGUCUCAUUUUUUUAUUUAUUUUUUGUUUUAAUAAUUGUUUUAAAAAUUUUUAUUUAAUGAAAUAAGCUAAAAAAAUUAAUAUGGGCUUGGCCAGGCCAGGCUCGGGCCUAGUAAUUUUCUUUUGGGCCGGACUUAGAUAAAAUUUUAAGCCCAUAUUUUAAAUUGGGUCCUAACCUAAAAAAUGAACCUAAAAUUUUAUAUGGGCCCGACUUGGCCCUUGAUUACCUUUAGGUCAGAGCUAUCCUCGUUUUGCAUUUCUUUGAGAUUCAGCCUUAUCUACUGUGAUUGCCCACUCAAUUGAGGGUUGAGUAGAAAGAUUUGGUGAAGCAAGCUAAGCUAUCAAUCAAGGUUUGCAUAAUUAUUUAAAUGUAAUUCUAAUAUUAAAAUAAUUUUUUUAUUAAUAUAGUAUCAACAAGCAUUAAAUGUAAUGAUCAUAUACUAUUACAUUUUAAAGAAGAGAAAACAUGUUUGAACUUUAAAAACCACGUUACUAAAAACAUUAUCACAAACCUUGAAAUAUAAAAAAUAAUUUUUUUAAUAUAAUAAAAAAUUAAUUUUAAACCCGAGCUGAAUAAAAUUCUAAUUUUAGUUAAUGAUACGAACAACAAAUCAAUAUUCUAAGCCCGAGCCCUGCUCAUUUUUUUAAUAAACACCAAAAAUUUAUUUUGAAAAUAAAAAAUAAAAAAAAUAUUUUAAAAAUAUUUUAAAAAUAAAAAAAAUUAAAAAUAAAUAUUUAUUAUAUAUUCAGGCCGGGCCGGGCUAGCCUUGGGCUAAAAAAAUGGUGCCCGAGGCCCGGCCCAUUUUCUAAAUAGGCCUCAUUUUUUGUCCAAACCCAUAUUUUGGGCCUAUAUUUUUACCCGAACCUCUCAUAUUUUGGGCGGACCGUCGGGCCGGACCGGGCCGCCCGGCCAUGAACACCUCUAGGGCAAAGUCACUCAAUGAAUGCAUGGAAAGAAAUAUUGCAACUUGGUGACAGCUUUUGUUGGAGUUAUAUGCUUUUUUUUACAUAGUGGAACUUUCGGUGGAUUUUCAAGUUUCAUGAACUUUAUACCCUAGGCUUUACGUGAAAAAAAUCAUUGGACUUAAAAGUCUACCAAAAGUUUCACUAUAAUAAAUAAAUAAAUAAAUAACAUUGCUACAAGACUACAACAUAAAGUUACAAUAAGAGCUUAUAACUCAACAAAGGCUAUCAAUAAAUAAUCUCAAGCAAGCUAAAGAGAAAUGUUGAGAGUACCACUCAAAUAGUGAUUGACUUUAAAAAUUGAAAACCCGAAGUUAUUGUUGACACCAUUUUUUGGAUGAAAAUGUGUCGACUUGGGUUUUGAAAAUGAAAACGAAAACGAGAGUCGCCACCAAUCCUUUUUGAUAAGGUGUGACUGGGUCACCUUGAAAAGUGGUUGUUUUUAAUAAACGAUUUGAUUUUAUUAAAACAACAGUUUUGGUCCACGAAAUUCAGAAAAAUGAGUUCGGGAGUCGGUUACGCACGAGGAAGGAUUAGCACCCUCGAUACGCCCAAAAUUGGUACCUAGUUGAUUACUUAAUGUCUUAAUGUCGAAAAUUGAAAACUUUGGAGAAUUUUAAACAUACGAUCCUUGUAUUAAAACGUUAAAAAUUUUCAAGAAAAUGGGAUAUUUCACGUUAUUCGAUAAAGAGAAUCAUAUCCUAGUAAGUUAGGACACAAUAUCUCGAAUUUCCGAUAUCAUUUAAAACUUGAGUUUGAAAAGAUUCGUGUAAUAAAGUUUAAAAUAAUAUUCAAUUGUUUAAAUCAAAUGAAGAAAUCGCAACCCAAUACGUUAGGGCACAAUUUCUCAAAAUAUUAAACAUUGAAUAUUGCAUUUAUUUCGAAAAAUCCUCAUCUCGAGAAAACGUGUCACAUCCAAUGCAUUAGAAUACAACGUAUUGAAUUCUCGAUAACGAGCUUUUUCUCAUUUUUUAAAAGAGUAAUCUCGAUUAUUUAGGUUCAACGAAGAAAAUCAAAACCCAAUACGUUAGGGCUCGAUUUUCUCAAAGAUUCCAAAUACCGAGUAUUACUUAUAUUUUUAAAAUUUCUUUUUUGAAAUCCGAGUAAAAAUGAAUGCAAAAUAAUAAAUGAUGACAAUGUAAAUAAAAUGAUACAAGCAAAACAAUAAACAAUAAAAAUAAUCAUACGGGCAAGGUAACAAAUAAUUAGGAACUAAAGAAAGAGAACAAACAAUAAUAAACAUGCAAAUAAAUGAACAAAAUUAACAACAUGAUGCAAAUAUGAAAGAUAUAUAAGCACAUAUAUAUACAUAAAAUAAUGAGAAUAUGAAAAAAUGUGUGUAAUUGGACAUGUUUCGGAAUUAUUAUACAUUUAAAAAUCAUGUAAAUGUGUGUACAUACAUAUAUACAUAUAUAAUAAUCAUUAAAUAUAUAAAAAUACAUAUGUGUAGGUAUAUAUGAGUCAUAAAAUGUAAAGAAUAUAUACAAGAUAUAUUUUGAACGUAUAAAGUAUAUGUAAAUGUAUAUAUAUAAUAAAGGUGUAUGAAAGCAUAUUUUAUAUACGUGUAUUUAUAAAAUGUAUAUAAAUGUAUAUUGAUUUACCAAUACAUAUGGAUUUAUAAUUAUAGAAUAUAUAUAAAAUAUUUACAUAUAUACGUUUAUGCAUAUAUAAAAGUAAGUUAUUAUAAAAUAUGAGCAAGCAGAAUACAUAAAUAUAUAUACAUAAAAUAAAAAUGAAGAUGAAAAUAAUAUAAAACUACUUAAUAUAUUAAUAUAAUAGUAACAAAUUAAAAAAACAGAAAAUAAAGCUAAUAAUAAUUAAUAAUAGUAGUAAUAAUUAUAGCAGCAAUGAUAAUGAUAAUAAUAAUAACACUAAAAAAAUUAAUUAAAUAAUAAAAUUGCUAAAAAGGGAUUAAAUCGAAAUAAAAACAUAAAUACUGGGCGAUUUUGAAAUAAAAAACGGGAAGGACCGAAUUGCAACGCGCGUUGAAAAGGAAAGGGCCAAAACUGCAAAUAAACCACAGCCCCAAAACGCAGCGUUGAAAUGGACCAAGUCGAAAUAAAAAUAAAAUUGCAGGGGCUAAAUUAAAAAUAAGAGAAAAUAACGAAAAAUGAUCAAAUUGUAAUACGCUGCAAAAUCAGGGGGACUGCACGCGCAAAUAGCCCAAAAACUGAAAACACGCGGAUCCUCCGGGUCGGGUCGGGUCGGGUCAGGUCGACGUGCGGAUCCCCUUUGCUAAAACGGCGUCGUUUCAUGUUUAAUAUAAAUACUAAAAAAAGCUAAAAAAAACAGUUUCAUCUUUUUUUAAAAAAAACAGAGAGAAAACUCUCUCUUUUUCCCUCAGGUCCGGCCAUGGUCCGGCUUGGGAUUUCCGACGAGUCUCCGCCGCAAAGCCACCGUGUGUGGCGGCCGGAGGUUCAAAAUCAGACCUUUUUGGUCCUUUUUUAAAGUCCAUGGCCUCCAAGCCACAGAUCCGGGGCUGAAUCUCCUGAAUCGAAAGCCGAAGACCCAAAAAAUGGGGUGAAAUCCUUCGCCUUCCUCCCCCUUCCGGCGCUGCGCAGGUAAGGUUUUUUUUAACUCCUUUUUUACUAUCUUUAUUUAUAUAUAUACAUGAAGAGAAAAGAGAGCAAAAUAAAUAAAUAAAUAAAAACUUCAAAACUGAAGAGAAAAAGACCUUGAAUCUGCCUUAUUUAUUUUCUUUCGGUUGAAUCUGUUUUUGUUUGUUACAAAAGUUUCCAGGGAAGAGAAAAAAAAAGAGAGUUACAUGCUUGGCUUUUAUAGCCGAUAUUAAUUUCUAUUUUUUGUUUUCUUUUUCCUUUCUUUUCUUUGGCUGUUGCGUGUUUGCUUCCUUAUUGCAGGGUGAUUGACGGGAGUGGUUGGCGACAGAGUCGGUGGCCACUUGCACUGAUGAAGCAGCGGUGGCGGCGCUAGGGUAGGCUAGGGACGGCGGCAGUACUAGGGUUUCAGAAAACUGAAACCCUAGUUUGACAAAUUGGUUUCGGGCCUGUUGGGCUUUAAAUUAUGGGCUUUGUAAUUGGGUUUUGGGUUUAGGUGAUUUGGGUUUAGGUGGUAUGGGCCCGGGUCAAAUUUUGGGUAAUGGGAUUGGGGCAAAAUUGGGUUGUACAGUUAUAAUAUCCCAAACGAAAUCAAACUAUAAACAUUAAAUUUUUCGAGUCUUCUAGAUACUGUAAAAAAUUCAGCUCCAACGGACACCAAAUGAACCUAUGAUCGAAGAAAAUACGAAGACUAGUCUGGCUAAAUCAAUCUGCCAAACUUACUUUUUAUCUUAUCUUUAAUUUGCUGUGAAAUUCAAAACUACGUGUAAUACUCAAUUUAUGCUCGACCCAUUUUGUUAAAACAAAUAAAAAAGAAAAGAAAAACAAAAUAUUUAAAUUUAGCCCAAAUGUCCAUUUACACAGCCCAAUUACAAUUGCAAAUAAAAAAAACUAAAACUAAACCCGAUCCUAAGCAUCAGCCCAAAUUCGACCCAUGCCCAAAACGAAUUCAGAUGCAGAAACCCUAGCCCAGCCUUAAUGCAAGCAAAAGUCGAAAGCCCUAAUAGUUGGUGCGCCGCUCCUGUAACAGCCCGAUUUUGGGCCUAGUCGGAACAGUGGUUUUGGGACCACAAAUCCGACGAGAAAAAAAUGUAAUGGCCCGAAUUUUCAGAGGUGUCAGAACGGUGAUUCGAGAUCACUAAAUUCGACAAAUGGGUAGAAAAUAUUAUUAAUUUAGUAAGUAUAAGUUAAAUGUGAAGUUAGGAAAAUUUUUGAAAUGGUGAAUAGUACACUAGAAAUAAAUAUUAAAAUAAUUAGAAUCGAAAAUGAGGUAUCGAGACCUCGGGGAUUUUAAACCGAGCCAUAAAUAUUUUUAUAAAUAUUUAUGUAGUCUUAAAAAGUUAGUAUUAAAGUUUCGUUAAGAAAUUUUAAAGUUCCGAUAAUUAAUUGAACAAAAAGGACUAAAUUGUAACAAAUACAAAAUUAUGAGAAAUGAUUAAAUAGUUUAAAUGAUAAAAGGAAGAGGGCUUAAAAGGUAAAUAGACCCAAGGUCUAUUUGGGCUGCACGGCAAAGGCAUGAAAUCAGCAACAAAGUAAGGAGAAUUAAGGGCAAAAUUGGAAUAUUGCAAAAUUUACUUAAUAAAGUUAGGACCAAAGUGGAAUUAUCUAGAUUUCUCUUUAUUUUUCUGCAUUAUCAUCAGCAUAAACACCAUAGAAGGGUUUUCUUAAGCUGGUUCUUCCUAUUUUUACUGCAGGUAAGUUCAAUUCUUGAUUAUUUCUUGAAAAUUUUGUGUUUUUGUGACUUUUACAACUAGGCCCACUUAUUGUAUUCAUUAGUUUUUGAUUCUAUGAAAGAAGUUGAAAGUUGCUAUGAAUACAUGCUGGAAGUAUAUGAUGAUUUAGCAUGGAAUUAGAGCUUUAAAUUGUUCAUAUGCUGAUUUAUUGAAAGAAUUGAAUAGAAAGUGAAUGUUUGGGACCUAAUAGUAAAAGAGUUUGAAGAUAGAGUUAUAUGUGGAAAUUCUGAAUUUCAAUAGUUGUGAAACAACUUAUAAUGUCUAGGUUAAGUAUUAAUUGAGAAAAUUAAAUUAAUUGAGGGGUUAAUUGAGAAAGGACCGAAUUGUAUAAACUGUGAAAUUUGGGGCAAAAAGGAAAUCAACAUUUUACACUAAAGCAGUUUUGGACAGCAGCAGUAGUAUAACUUUGAAAAAUCACCAAAAAUUUUGAGAAUUGAAUUAGAGGGUGAAUAAAAUAUAAAAUUAAAGCUCCUUGAAUCUAGUUUCUCAUAGAAGAAACGGUGUAAGCAAUGGAAUUGUAAAUCAUGAGAUAUAAUAAAUUUUGUGAGACAAUGUCAUAAUGAUUUCGGGUUCCCCUAUUCUGACUUUGGAAAAUCAUCAAAAAAUUAAGAAAAAUAUGAGUUAUAAUUUAUAUGAUUACAAUCCUUAAUGAGUCUAUUUUCAAAGAAAAUAAACGGAAAUAUCAUCCAAAUUCUGUACAAUUAUAUAAUUCAUUUUUAGUGAAGAGUGGUCGAAACUGUCAGACAGCGAAAUAGGGGGAACUUUAAAGAAUAAACUGUACUAUUUGGCUGAACCAAAAAUUCUGAAAAUUUUAUGGUAAGAAGGUAUGUGAGUCUAGUUUUAAGGAAAAUUAACGGAUCUUAAUUUAGAGCUCUGUAGCUCUAGAUAAAAAUAAUUUAGUGACUCUGACUCAGAUAAAUAGCUUUGAAUGUACAUGUGAGUGAAUAGUGAAAUUAUAGCUAGUGUUGUUUAAGUGUGUUAUACACAUUAAGGAUAUGGAAUGGAGAGGAGGAGGAGGAGGAAAAAUUGGGAAAUAUAUGAAUGAUUUGUGUAUAAUUGGUCAUAUGCUUAAUUAUAAUUGAUAAACGAUGAAAUAGAAAUGAUGCAUAUAUUUGUGCAGUAUUGGUCAUGGUUUAAGCUCAUGUGGGAAAAUAAAGUUUAUAGUACGUGUGUAUUAUAUUUUUGGUAUAUGAUUUGGCAUUAAGUAAUGUCGUGAAUGGAUAUUGAAUUAACACAUGUUGGAAAGUUUGAUAUAUGAAUAAAUAUUGUGAUCAUGAAAGAGUGUUACAGCUCCUGCCUUCAGCACGCGUCGAGCCUCCGCGCCAAAUCCACGUGAGCCUCCGUACACUCCAACUAGCCUCCGUACCUGCAACAAACAAAAGUAGACAAAACAACAGCAAAGGAUAGGAAGAAAAGGCAGUAAAUAGUGAAGAUUUUUCUGUAAUUUUCUUUGGAUUUCAUUAUGUAUUUUCGGCUAUAAAAGAGCCAUUAGGAAUAUUUGUAAAGGGUUUUUUUUUUACCCUCACACACAAAGAGAAUAUACACGCAUACAAGAUCAAUAUAGAGAAAGAAAUAAAAAUAAAUAAAUACAAAGAAUAGAAAAUCAAGUUUCGAAGGUGAUUCUUUGAAAAAUCCUUUUCGUUUUUCUCAUUUUUCCUUUUUCCUGGAUCUUUUGUUCAUUUCAAGUAAAAAAAGUAUAGAAAGGAAACAAGUUUAGAGGAAGGAGGUUUACCUGGACGCCGGACCUCGCUCGCCUCGUCGAAAUCGAAGGCUGAGAGGGGAUAAAUCGGUUUUGCGGCAGAAGGAAAGGGGGGCUAGGGUUCUUGUUUUAACUUUUUUAAAAAAAAUAGAAAAGGUUGCUAAUUAGGUUUUAAUGGGGGAUUUAUGUGUGUUAAAAAAACGACGUCGUUUAGCGACCUUUGACCCGUGCGGUGACCCGACCCGAGGAAAGGAUCUGCGCGUUUUGGGUCUGAUGGGUUUAUUGCGCAACAAGCCCUUCCGCAUUUGUUUUUCGUUUCAAUUCGGUUUUUAUUUGUUUUUUAAUUGUUUUCUCAUAUUUAGUUCCAAUUUCAAUUGGGUCCAUGAUUAAACGACAUCGUUUUCAUUGAUUGGGUUUGAAGGCCUGGUUUUGUGCGUCUAAAUUGCAGCAAUGGUCCCCCUGAUGUGCAAUAGUUCUCGAUUUAGUCGUCUCCACACUUAUUUCAAAGUCGUCCUUGAGAUUUUGUUUUAUUUUUGAAAUUGUCCUUGUCUUCUUUUAAUUUAUAAUGAUAUUAUUAUUAUUGUUGUUGUUAUUAUUACUAUUAAUAUGGGUAUUGUUAUCAUGUUAGUUUAUAUCUAUUUAUUUACUUUUAUUUUAUUAUGUAUUAUUAUAUAAUGCUUUUAUCAUGUAUCAUUUUAUAUAUUUUCUAUGUUAAUCUAAUAUGAUAUAUAUAUAUAUAUGUAUUUUUGUGAUCUUAUUUUAUAAUACUUUUUUAACCCAUUUAUAUGCCUUUAUGUUUUAAAGAUUUAUAAUAUUUUGUGCAAAACUAUUAUAUAUAUAUAUAGAUAUACAAUUUAUAUUAGACCAUUUUUAUCGUACAUAUACGUAUAUAUAAUUUAUAUUUUGAAACUCUAUUUUAUUAUAUUUUAUGCCUCUAUAUACAUCAUUAUAUGUUUAUUAUUCUUUAUAUUAAACCUGCCAUUUCACUUAUAUAUUUUUAAAACCAAUGUGUAUUAUUCUUUCUUCUUUGUUAUUUUUUAUCUCUUAAAAUAGAUUGAUAAUUCAUUUAAUUUUUGAAUGUUGUAUGACCGAGAUUAUCGUUGCCAUUCUUGUCCAAAUUUAUCCAUUGCUUGUUCAUAUUAUUUGAUAAUUUAUCGCUCACUAGCAUGUAUCGUAAUUUACGAAUUAUCAUUUUGAAUUAUGUACUACCAUUCAAUCGCAUUACAUUUGUUUGGAAAACAUCGAAAUCGUUUUGCACAUAAACCUUCAAAAUGCUUGGUAUCCAAAAUUCUCGAGAGGAUUGUGCCCUAAUUUAUUGGGCUUCAAUUCCCCUUUUUGAUUUUAAAUAACCGAAUACCCCUUUUUCAAUUUGAACAUAGAAAUUCCAAAAUAAAAAAAAACUCAUUCUCGGGAAUUUGAUGCGUUGUGUCCUAACGUAUUGUAUAUGACAUAUUUUUCUCGAGACGAGGAUUUUUCUAACAAAUAAAAAUAAAGGCAAUAUUCGAUAUUUAGGAAUUUUGUGAAAUCGAACCCUAACUUACUGGGUUUUGAUUUUUUCAUUUGACCCAAGUAGGAUAUCCUUCACAAAUGCACAGAUUUUAAAAAAUCAAAAGAUAAACUUAAUUUCGAGGAUUUAAAAUGUUACACUCUGACUUACUGAGUGUGUCAAUUUAUUUCUUUGAAAUAAGUGAGUCUUAUCAUCCAAUUUAUUUUAUUCAAAUUUUCUUUUCCAAGGAUCGUAUUUUAAAAUUUUUUCAAAAUUUCGACAUUAAGACAUUAAGCAAUCAAUUCAGUACCAAUUUUGGGCGUCACGAGGGUGCUAACUCUUCCUCGUGCGUAAUCGACUCCCGAACCAGUUUUCUCAAAAUUCACAGACCUAAAAUUAUUUUCAAGGUGAUCCGAUCACACCACAAUAAAAGAUCAGUGGUGACUCCCAUUCCUAUUUUUAAAAGUCGAUUCCUGUUUUUCAUAUAUAAAAAAAUGGUUUCGACACUACGGUUUUGUUUGUUUCCCUUAGAACAACUUUCAAAAAGUUAAUUUUGAAAAAUGGAUUGAAUUUUCAAAAUAGAUGAUAUUUUUUUGUGUUAAAAUUUUAUUCGUUGUUUGAAAAAAAAAUUUAAAUCAUUUUCUUAGAAUUAUUUUUAGUGAAACAAAUAUAUCAUAAAUAUAUUUGUUAUAAAAUAUUAUAUUAAUAUUUUCUUUUAACAAUUAAAAUAUAUUUUGUGAUAAGGUAAUAUUUUAUAAUAAUUAAUAUCAUAUAUACUUAAUAAUAAAUCAUGUCUAAUUAAAAUUUAAUUUCAAUUAAAUAUAUUAAUAAAGCUACAUUUAAUCAUAUUUUAUAUAAUUAAAAUAUUAAUAUAAAUAUUUUUCAAUAAUAUAUUAAAGAAUAUUUAAAAUUUAAAUUUAUUAUUACUAAGAUUAAUUAUUAAAACAAAAAUGUAAUAUUAAAUAAUUUAUCCAAUGAUAAGUUAUAUUAAUAAUUUAUUAUAUUAUUAAAUAUAAAUAAUUAAAUAUGUAUGUUUAAUAAUAUUAUGUUAUAAUAUUUAUUACUAAUAUUUUAAUAUUUUUAAACAACCAUGUUUUAAAGAUGGUGGUGAUGGUGAUGGUGCAGGCCCCCUUGUUAAAAUUACAAUAUUUUUAAGUGGGAUGCAUGUAAUAUAUUGUUAGGGUUUUAGAGUAUGUGGUCUUUAAAAGGGUUAAAUUAUAUAUUUAUAUAAUAUGAUUAUUGUUUAUAAACAUAAUAUUGUAGAUAAGUUUAUAUGUAUGUCAAUAUGUAUCCUACUCUAAGGUUAAUAUGUAUUUUUUAGAUGUGGGUUUACCUAUAUAAUAGUAUGAAUCCAUCAUGUGGUCUCAUGAAAUAUACAAACACAUAUCGUGCGAACACAAAGUACGAACAAUAAAAAAUACAAAUCAAGACCCAAUUGAAUAAUUGAAUAACGGAUAGGUAAUAAUGAAUAUCAUAACAUUUACUAUCCCCUCUUUUCUAGUGAGUUAUUGUUUAUGAUAAAUUUGCAACAAAUGUUUUUAUCAUUAUUUUGUUGGUAAAUGAUAAUAAGAUUAAACAUUACUUUCUUAAGCUCCUUCAAUUCUUUGGACGUUAGCGAGUAAACUUGAGCUUCAGCAUUCCACAAACACCUUAAUUUGAAGACACAGUUCUCUCAUACUAAAAACGACAUGGACGUUUACCUUGUAAUUAGAGAUUUGGGCUCAUUGUUGGGUUAUUAAUGAUACGGGGAUGGAGAGCUUUAAACUGGGUAUGGUUGGCCCCAAAGAGGCUCGAAACGUGCUUGAGACUAGAGGUGAUCAAGGGCCGGGUUAGGCCCAGUCUAGAAAAAAAAUUAGGCCCAUUUUUUAGAUUUGAACUCGGCUCGGCUCAAAAUAUAAGCUUAAAAAUUUGUCUAAGUUCAGUCCGAAAGAAAAUUGUUAAGCCCAAGCUCGACCCAUAUUAAAUUUUACAACACCAAAAAAGUAUAUUUAAAUAAAAAUAAAAUAUAUAUAUUUAAUAUAUAAUUCGGGCCGAGCUGAACUCGGGCCAAAAAAGUUUUACUCGGGGCUGGUCCGUUUUCUAAACAGACUUCGUUUUUUUUGCCAAAAUCCAUAUUUUUACCCGAAUCUUCCUAUUUUUUGGGGUGUGCCGUCGGGCCGAACUGGGUAACCGAACCAAUGAUCACCUCUGUAAUCACUGAAUUUUGUCCGGGAAUAACUUUCGUUAAAAAAAUUUUAAAAUUAAAAAAAAAUUAACUUUUUUGCUUUUUGACCCCUAAACUUUUCUAAAAUUUCAUUUUAACCCCUAAACUUUCUCAAAAUUACAGUUCAACCCCUAAACUUUUCUAAAUUACAUUUUGACCCCUAAAAUUUCUUAAAAUUACAUUUGGACCCUUACACUUUCUCAAAAUUACGUUUCGGCCCCAAAAUUUUUGCUACAUUUACAAAUUGGUCCUUCUGUCAGAAAAUCCCCAAUAAUCCGGCGGAUUUCGUGCACCUGCCCCACUAUUUCCGGCAGCCGGCCUAGGGCAUGGCCUUCCCCACCUGCUACCUGCAAACAAGAAGCAAAAUCAACUAUAAAAAGGAGUUUAAACUCCAAAAAUCGGACCCCCACCCACGAAAAAAAUAAAAAAAAAAAACUUGAAAGAAAAAGAAAAAAGCUUUGAGAAAGAAAAAGAAAAGGAAAAGAAGAGAGGGGAGAAGGAGAGGCCGACCAUCGGCGAGCCACCGGAGGAGGCGACGGCAGCAGCGGCAUCGACGGCGGCGUAGAAGACCGAACGGAGAAGAAGAAGAAGAAGAAAAAAAAAGAAAGAAGAGAAAGAAAGAAGGAAGAAGAAGAAGAAAGAAACAAAAAAAAAAGAAAAUAUUUUGUAAUAGUCGGCCCGGCCCGACUCGACCUGCACGACCCGUGACCCGACCCGACAGCACCAGCAACCUAGCAGGCCACGGUAGCAGCCCGGCGGCCCAAAGAGUAGCCCAAAAAGAAAAAAAGAAGAAGAACAAAGCAAAAAAAAAAAGCAGGCCAUUUUCAGCAGGCCCAGUGCAGCCCAGCAGACCCAGCGAACCCAGCAGGCCAGGCCCACACGCAAGCAGCCCAACAGAAAAAAAGGGAAAGAAAAAGAAAAGAAAAAAGAAAAAAGAAAAAAGAAGAAGAAGGGGUUCAAUUUGUAUUAUCCGUUCGGCGAAGCUCGUGUUUUGAGGAUUUUUUUUCGGUAAUUUUAUUUUUUAAUUUUAAUUUAAUGCUCGUAUUUUUUUUAAAUAUUAUUAGUAUUUUAUGCAUUUUUAUAUUUUGGCAUUUAUAUUUUUAAUUUAAUUUACUUCAAUUUUUAUUUUAUUUUAUUUUAAAUAAUUUUAAUAAAUGAGGCAACGAAUCGAUUUAACAUAAAAUCGUUGAUUUCAUUGCUAUGUUGGGUGAAUAUCAUCGGUUUGUGUUAAACACGAUACACCCUUUUUAAAAAAAAGAAAAAAAUCGAAAAAAUUCUAAAAUUCUCAUUUUUUUAAAAUUCUCGUGUUUUAAUAGAAUCACGAUUAAAUAUUAAGUUGAAUCGAUUUGGCACUAAUUCGAUGAUUUCAUCUCCAUGUAGGGAUGAAUAUCAUUUAUUCGUGUUAAAUAUGGUACUUCUGAAAAAAAAUCGGGUUUCAAAAAUUUUCGUGUUUUCAAAAAUUCUCAUGUUUCAAAAAUCUUCGUGUUUUAAAAAUUCCAGUGUUUCAAAAAUUUUCGUGUUUUCAAAAAAAAAUUUCUCGUGUUUUUAAAAAUUCCCGUAUAUCGAAAUUUUCUUGUUUUCAAAAAAAAAAUUCCAUGUUUCAUAAAUUUCCGUGUUUUCAAAAAAAAAUUCUUGUUUUUCAAAAAUUUUCGUUUUUAAAAAAUUUGACCGUGUUUCAUAAAUUUUCGUAUUUCAAAAAAACCUCGUGUUUCAAAAUUUUCGGGUUUUUUUAAAAACAAUUCGUGUUUCUAAAAUUCUCGUAUUUUAAAAAAAAUCGUGUUUUCAAAAAAAGAAAAAGUUGUUGUGCUUUAAAAUUAUCGUGUUUCAAUCGGAUCACGAUUAAUAUUAAAUUGAACUCGUAUUUUUGAAAAUGAAAACAACGCGCGUUUAACGAGAUACCAAUUUUGGGCGUCGCGAGGGUGCUAAUACCUUCCUCGCGCGUAACCGACUCCCGAACCUUAAUUUUCUCUGAAUUUUUACGUGGACCUAAAAUUACCUCUUUUUAGAAAAGUUUAAAAAUGAAUUUUUCUUCUAAAAAGAGAAUUUUGUAGGUGUCCGAUCACACCUAAAAAAAGAUCGGUGGCGACUCCUUUUUUUCAAAUAAAAUCGAGAUUCAGUUUUCAAGUUUUUAAUAAUUACUUCGACAAGCGCCCGUGCGCAAAAUUUUUAAGUCGCUACAGCCUCUACUUGAGACAACAGGGUUUUGCAGGGAAUUCUUACAGGUUCGUUUCUGGCGACAAAAAAGAGCUCUUCACUAUAAGCAUACAAACAAGAGCCAAAACUAUGCCUCUUAGUGAUGAUAUUAGGCCUUAUGUUAUUCCUUUUCAACAUCAAACCGUCAACCGGUAUGGUAUGUUUUUUUUAUUUAAUCUGCAAUUUGUGAUAAUUCUUUGUUAUUUAUGUAUGGAAUUUAUUGGGAGGAAAUGCUGGAAAGAAUUCAUUUACGAGAAUUGGUCCAAGAUCAAGGGUGAACAUUACGGACCCUGAAAAAUAAGAGAAAUACUUAACAAAUUUAAUGACUUCCAGAAGAUACGUACCAAUCCACUGCUUAAUUUGCUUGUAAGCGGCCUUGUUAACCUCGAAGGAGACCGAUGGAGCAAGCAUAGAAAAAUCAUAACCCUUGCAUUUCAUCAAGAUAAGUUGAAGGUAUAGAAUAGUAAUGGGUACUCAAGACUUUAAAGAAAACAUCAUACUUAAGCCUAUGCUUUUCUGAUUUAGAAAUAAUUGGAUGCAGAAUAUGUUGCCAGCAUUUUAUCAAAGUUGUAGUGACAUGUUUAAGCAAAUGGGAGAAGAUGGUGUGUACAGAAGGAUACAUUGAGUUAGAUGUGUCGCCUUAUCUCGUAGAUUUGACAAGAGAUGUUAUUUCCCGAUCUGCUUUUGGAAGCAGCUUCGAAGAAGGCAAACGAAUUUUCCAAUUACUAGAGGACCAACUCGUUCUCACAAUCAAAUUAAUACAAACUGUUUACAUUCCAGGAUGGAGGUAACCGUCUACUUUAAUUUACUUGAAAAAGGUUGCAAAUGUUGGAAUUGGCUAAAUUCGUGUUUGUUUUCUUGAAGGUUUUUGCCCACAAAGACAAACAGGGAGGUGAAGAUGAAACACAAAGACAUAAAAGAGUCGCUCAGGGAAAUGAUAAAAAGAAGAAAGCAGGCAAUUAAAGCAGGGGAAGAGAGUAAUGAGGACUUGUUGGACAUACUUGUGGAAUCCAAUAUCAGAGAAAUGGAAGCAAAGAAUAUGGGGAUGAGCAUUGAGGAUGUGAUUGAGGAAUGCAAGCUGUUUUACUUAGCUGGCCAGGAGACCACUUCGGUCUUACUGGUGUGGACUAUGGUUUUAUUAGCAAGGUAUCCCGAUUGGCAAAGUAAAGCAAGAGAGGAGGUUUUGCAUGUUUUGGGUGACAGUAAACCUGAUGCUGAUGGCCUUAAUCGUCUCAAAGUUGUAAGUCCCUAGCAUGUCUCUUGAAGGCCCGAUCUCUGAGGUCGACAACUCAAAAACUUGGUUCUUUGUUUCGCUAAUUCUACAGUUAACAAUGAUAUUGUACGAGGUUCUAAGGCUGUACCCACCAGUGAUUGAGCUAGGACGUUCCGUUCCAAAAGAAAUAAAACUGGGAAAUUUGUUGUUACCAGCAGGAACAGACGUUUCGGUUCCAAUCCUGCAGAUCCACCAUGACAAAGAUCUUUGGGGCGACGCCGCACGGGAAUUUAAGCCACAGCGGUUCACGGAAGGGGUUUCCUAAGCAACAAAGAGUCAAGUCACGUUUCUGCCAUUCGGAUGGGGUCCUAGGAUCUGCAUUGGCCAAAACUUUGCCAUGAUGGAAGCUAAAAUGGCGAUGGCUAUGAUUCUCCAACGCUUCUGGUUUGAGCUUUCCCCUUCCUAUGCUUACUCUCCUUACAACAUGGCAACUCUUCGUCCACAGCAUGGUGCACAGAUAAUUUUACAUAAACUUGGCUGUAAUUGAAUUGUUAUGUAAGCAAAUCUUUGUGAAAAUAUAGUGUUUUAGUGUAUCGUCAACGUCUGUCUGUAAUGGUACAAUUCCGAUGCAUGAAUAGUAAAUUUUGAGAUGUUUGGUGAAGUCCGAAAUAAUAUGCAGAAAUUGAGUGUCUAUGGUGGACAUAGUUGAGGGACUAAUGUGGUAAUUAUCAAUCAAAUAAUUCGGUACAAAGACUUAUAUGGAAAUUAAAGCAGGGGGAGUUGAAAAUGACUACUCUGCUUUGGGCAUCAAUUUAGAAAGAUUUAAAGUACAAAUGUGUUAUUAGUUAAGGGAUUUGUUUUAAAGAGGGAAUGACAAUUAAACCUCAUGGUUGAUUUGUGGAAGGGAACCAAUGAUGGGAUGAUUACUCUUAGUGGUGAAAAAAAAACUAUUAAGGUGGUUAUUAUAGUUGUUAUCACCAGCCUAAAAUUUGAAUAGGUUCAGGUCGGAUUAUAUUGAGCUUGCAAGAUUAGUUCACGGACCAAACUUGCAUGAUAAUAGGUAUUCACAACAAGAUAUCUAUAGUUUCCAACAAAGUCACAUGUGAGAUCGUGCAUUAGAACCGCAUAAACAUGUUUUAUGUUUAGAAUAUGAUAUGUGUCUAUGUGUAUAGAAUCUACCUAAUAUAUCAUAUUAAUGAAUAGUAUCAAUUGCGGAGCCAAAAAAUUAUUUGUGAGGGGUCAGAAUUAAAUUGUAUAUUUUUACAAAAAUAAAAAUUAAAUUUCACUAUUUUAAUAGUUUAUUUAUUUUUAAUUUUUAAAUGAUUAAAUUAAAUUUUAUAAAUUUUUAGGAUCAAAGUAUAAUUUUAUCAUUACUAAUUUAAAAUUUUAUAAAUUAUAAAAAGUUUAUAUGAAAAGUUUUCUAUUUUAGGGUGGCCAAAGCCCCUGUCAACUUCUGACUCGAUCACUUGCGGUUAGUUGGGUAAAGACUCAAGAAAAAUAGCGGUGUGUUUGGAUGGACGGUGCGUUUACUUGCGGUUAGUGUAAAAAUAGCGGUGGCGGUGAGAUUAGAUACUAUAGCAACACUGUAGCGUGAGACAAAAAGUAAGUUAAACGCACUGCACUGCACUUAAUCGUCUAUCUAAACUCACCAUAAGUGUCUAAAAUAUGAUUUAAGUGAAGAUACGUGGGGUAGGUGUCAUGGAAAUGUAAAAAAAAAAAAGAAUCCUACUAAUGUAUGGGAUGUGUACAAUUGAAUGCAGGAGUGAAUCAUUUGGGUAACAUUUGGACAAGAAACAUAAUGAACAAAAUGAAAGGAGAGGAAGCUAGUAAUAAAAGAUUCUUUUGGGUUAUAUAAUUUGUUUGGCAUAUAUUUUUAUAAUAUUUAAAUAUCAUUUUGGAGUUGUUGAAUUAUAAUUUAUUUUUAUGUUUUAAAACAUAAUUAUUCUAUUUUUAGAGGUCAGAGUAGAGGUGAGCAUGAGUCGGGCUACUCGGCUCGGGCUGAAGGCUUGCGCAAAAUGUGAGAGAUUUGGGUAAAAAUAUAGGCCCGAAAAAUGAGUUUAGACAAAAAAAAAUAUAAGGCCCGUUGAAAAAACAGGCUAGGCCUUGGGUAAGGCAUUUUGGCCCCAGACCCGGCCCAACCCAAAUUCACUAAGGGCACGUUUGGUUCGCUGUAUUGGAAUAGAGGCGUAAUGUAAUAGAGGCGUAAUGGAAUAGAGACGUAAUAGCAAAUCAAUUGUUUGGUUGAAUGUAAUGGAAUAGAGGCGUAAUAGUAUUCUUAUAUUUGGUUGAAUGGAAUAGAGUUGUAAUAGCAUAAGGAAAAAAGUUAAAAUGACUAGAAUACCCUUAGCAGAAAUUUGUUUAGAUAAAUGAUUAUUGUUAUUGUUAUUAAAUUUUAAUAAGAUUAUUAAUAUCAGUAAUAAAUAAUUUAAUCAUAUUUUAACAUAAUUAUUAUUAAAUAUAAUUUAAUAAAAAUAUAUAAUUUAAUAAAAUUCUUAAUAUUAAAUAUUCUUAAUAUUAAAUUACUAAAAUCAUAAUAUAUAAUACUAUAAAAUAUAAUUUAACAUAAUUAUUAUUAAAUAUAAUUUAAUAAAAUUCUCAAUAUUAAAUAUAUUCUUAUAUGAAUUUACUAAAAUCAUAAUAUAUAAUACUAUAAAAUAUAAUUUAAAAUAAUUAUUAUUAAAUAUAAUUUAAUAAAAAUAUAUAAUUUAAUCUAAAGUUUGAAUGUGUAUUUACCUAGCAAAAAUCAAUGAACUCUCGUGUAACUAUAACCUUAAUAAUAUAUGAUGUAUAAUUAAUAUUUCGUGACUAAUUAAUAGCAUAGAGAUAAAUAUAGUAAUGACGAAUUUAUAGUAUACGAUUAAAAUGCUAAUAAUUUAUAGUAUACAAUUAAAAUAUUAUAAAUAAAAUAAUAGUAAAUGAUAUAUAAGAUAAAUUAACAUAUAAAUAAUUCAGAUAUGUAAAGGAUAUGGCUGAAUAUGGUUGCUCCAAUAAUAAAGGAUAUAUAAUAUAUCAUGGUGUUGUUUUGUUUAGAUAGUUCGGUAACUUAGGAGGGUAUGUAUGAAGAACACAAGUUGAUGCAGAUAGAAAGACGACAAUAUUACAUGAUUACAAUAUGAUAUAGUAUAUAUAUAUAAUUUAUGGAUUCCUUGCAAUCACGUGGGUUCUCUAGCCAUUUUAUUUAGCAUAUCCAGUGAUAUUAAGAUCCAGAAUUAUAAUACAACUAAAAUCUGUGCACACUUAUGGAUGAUCCAACAAAGCCUCAGUUGGCUUUAGGUUCCAAAUCUUGCAACCCACAAACCAUAUUUGCUGGCACUGCAACAUCAAUCAUCUUAGGAUAUGCCAAGUUAAGAUCUGUUGCACCAACAAAAACAGAGGAGAAAUUGGAAGGCGAUCCGAAAAAACCCAAGGAUGCUUUUUCUUUUCUUUUUUUUUUAUAAUCUUUAUAGACUGGUUAUAUUGAGCAUCAACUUACUUUCCAUGAUGUUUUUGAAAGUCUCUUACAAAAAGGGUAUUCAACAAAUAAUAUAAUCAGACAUAUUGAUAGGACAAAUUGAAACUAGUAUUCUAUGAUCAUAAUAAAGAGUAAUCUUUAAUCAAAUGCGUGAAGGUAUUGAGAUGUCAUGCUUUUUCAUGAUUUCCUGUUUUACCAUGGCGAUGUUCAUUGGAAUAGUCCCAUCCAAGAGAAUCAAACCAAUGCUCAGCAAGAAAUGUUCAAUGCAUAUGUAAUUUUAAUUACAGAAGUUAUAUGCAGCUUAUAUGAGUUCAAGAUCAUAAAAUACUUCAUGGACAAAAGGAAACCCUUUCUUAUCACUGAAAUGAAAAUAGGCACUCUUAAUUUUCUAUUGUCAAAAGUAGCAAGCCAUUUUCCAAAGAAAAGGGAAGAUGGAUGGUUCCAGAAAGAAUACCUCAUCCUUUGUCAAGUGUGGAUUAUAUAGCAUCUCCUCUCCCACAGUGGUUACCUAUAAUCAAUGAGGUUUAUAAAAUCGAGCAAUCAUUUAUAUAUGUAAGAAAUGAUAGGAAUAAAGUUUUAUAUCUUACUGAGAAUCCUUUGUAGUCAUGAGCUGGAUAUAGCAAUGUCUCUUUCGGUAAUGUAAAAAUCUGGAUCCAUGAAACAAAUAAGUCCAUAAAUUUUAUUCAAAUUUUGACAAUUACAAUAAAAUUUUGAGAACUCAAAGAAUGUGACCAUAAAAAGUCCCCUGUCCUUACCUGUGAAUGCACUGACUUGUAGAGUUGCUGUGAACUUCCACCCUGCAAAAUGCAUUAAUCAGUGCUAGUCAAUGGCUACUGAAUGUGGGAGCAUUAGAGAAAAUUAUCUUAAAAACUUAAGUAUAACAAAAUUAGACAAUGACAUCCAGAUGGAAAGAAAUUGCCAGCAUAUAAGACCAGCAUUUAUGUACUCACGACUGAAAAUCCUUUGCAAAAAGUAUAGCCCUGAUAGUUCAAACUUUUACUUCAAGGAUGAUUUAAUUACUGAUUAGUUUGCCAUGAGGCUUGUGAAUGACAAACACUUUAUGUGCAACCACAGUAACAAGGUAAGCACCAAUAAGUAGAAGACUAGACGAAUAGGUAACCAAGAGUUAGAGCUAAAACAGACAAACAGAGCUACUAUCCAAUGAGCUAAAACAUACAAACAGAGGUAUAUUUUAAUAAUGAAAAUAAUCGAUUGCCUUAAACACCAUAUAGUGUUCCAAUCAAUCAAAUUAUAGCAGGCAUUAAAACCUUUCCCUUUCGUUAAUUCACAACUAUUAGCUUCAUUAAUCAAAUCCUAUGUACAGUUGAUCGAUUGAAAGUGUAACAUUUCAAAGACGAAAUUUAAACGCAAAACUGGUUAACAUUGAAAUUACAUGUAAAUAUAACCUAAAAAAUCAAAAAAUUAAUCAUAUUUUCAGAUUUCAGGCCGAAAUGGAAUGAAAUGAAAGGUAAAUCCAUUUUUUCCCCAAAAAAACAAAAAUAAAGAAAUAAUAUUUCAAGAACAGAUCAUUAAAUUCAUGGUAUAUAUAAAGAAAUUUAAUUGAAAUCAAAGGAAUAGAAGAAGGGAAAAGCGUACUUGGAACCAUUGCUGCUACUCUCUGUUACUCUGUUACCUCAUACGAUUCGUUAAAGGGUUGUUAGGGUUUGUUAAAAGGUUGGUCAGGAUAGAAGCAUGAAAAGGAGGGAGAAGGUUGGAAGGAAAUGGGAAGAAAAAUGAAAAAAAGAAGAAGAUGCUGCAACGGCUUGGAGGGUAAAAGAGGACCGAUUAGGUAAUCCUUUCUUUUGGAAGGGAUUACAAAUCGGCGCUGCAUAAGGGAAAAUGGGGAAUCAGUGCGCUGCGUAAUAGGCCCGUAUUAAGGCAAUACAGCCAACCAAACAUGGUAAUCAGUGGGGCCACGAAUUAGGGGUGUAUUGGCUAAUCCAAUACACCCAACCAAACAUGCUCUAAAGGACAAAAAAAUUUGAUUUUUUAAAUAUUAUUUUCUCUCUAUUUUGCUAUCAUUUUACUAUUAUGUUGCUACUAUGUUAUUGUUAUUUUUGAAUAUUGUAUAAAACUUAUUUUAUUGUUAAUUUUGUUAUUAUUUUAAAGACAUUUGUUAAUUUUGUUAUUAUUUUAGAGACAUUUGUUUGUUAAGUUGCAUCUAUCUUAGUGUUAUUUAAGUAUACAUAUUUUUUAAAAUUUAUUUUCAAUUUAUUGGGAAAUAUUUAUUUUGAUGUUUUUAGUAUUUUGGAUGUAUUAUAUAUAUUAAAAUUAUAUAAAAAUUAAUAUGGCCGAGCCAGGUCAGGCCCAGAUUUUAGCAUUUUUAUUCAGGUCGGGCUUGAGCAAAAUUUUAAGCCCAUUUUUUGGGCCAAACCAGGCCUGGGCUUAGCAAAUGGGCCUAAAUUUUUAGUCAAGCUCGACCUAAACCCGAUCCGGCCCAUGCUCACCUCUAGAUCAGAGCUGCCCUCGCUUUGCAUUUCUUUGAGAUUCAGUCUUAUCUACUGUUGAUUGCCCACUCAAUGGAGGGUUGAGUAGAAAGAUUUGGUGAAGCAAGCUAAGCUAUCAAUCAAGGUUGGAGAAAGCUUAGGAGGUCACAAUGCAUAAUUAUUUAAAUGUAAUUCUAAUAUUUAAAUAAAAUUUAUUAAUAUAGUAUUAACAAGCCCUAAAUGUAAUGAUUAUAUACUAUUACAUUUUUAAGAAGAGAAAACAUGUUUGAACCUUAAAAACAUCAUUAUUAAAAAUGAUAAUUACAAAUUUUAAAAUAUAAAAAAUAUAAUUAAAAAUUAAUUUUAAACCCGAGCUGGAUAAAAUUCUAAUUUUAGAUAACGAUACUAAUAAGAAAUCAAUAUUAAAAUGAAAAUGAAAAGUAAUUUAAUAUAAUUUUUGAGUCUUGGGCAAAGGCACUCAAUGAAUGCUUGGAAAGAAAUAAUGCAACUUGGUGAUAGCUUUUGUUGGAGUAAUAUGCUCUUAUUAUAGUUUUAUGUUUUUAUCUUGCAAAAACAACAUAUUGGAGUUUUCGGCAUGAUUUUUUCUUAAUACUUUACAUGAAAAAUAAUAAUGGGACUUAAAUUGCUACAAUAUUACAACACAAAGUUACAAUAAGAGCUUAUAACUCAACAAAGGCUAUCAAUAAAUAAUCUCAGGCAAGCUAAAGAGAAAUGUUGAGAAUACCACCCGAAUAGUGACUGACUUUAAAAGUUGAAAACCCGAAGCUAUAUUAUCUCAAACGAAAUCAAACCAUAAACAUUAAAAUUUUCAAGUCUACUAGUUACUGUAAAAAAUUCAGCUCCAACAGACACCAAAUGAGCCUUUGAUCGAAGAAAGUACGAAAAAUAGUCUAGGUAAACCAAGCUUCCAAACUUACUUAUCUUAUCUUUAAUUUGCAGUGAAAUUCAAAAUUAAGAUUUUGUUUAUUUCACUUGGAACAACUUUCAAAAAAUUAUUUUUGAAAAAUGAAUUGGUUUUUCGAAAUAGAUGAUAUUUUAUUGUGUCAAAAUUUUAUUCAUUGUAGGAAAACUUUUUUUAAAUCAUUUUCUUAGAGUUAUUUUUAGUUAAAUAAACAUAACAUAAAUAUAUUUGUUACAAAAAAUUAUACUAGUAUUUUCUUUUGACAAUUAAAAUUUAUUUUAUGGUAAGACAAUAUUUUAUAAUAAUUAAUAUCAUAUAUAUACGUAAUAAAAAUCAUGUUUAAUUAAAAUUUAAUUAAAAUUAGAUGUAUUAAUAAAGCUACUCCUCCACAACCCGCAUCCGCAACAGCACCAGCACCAGCACCAGCACCAGCAUCAGCACCAUGGGACAACUAUUGGGUUUCCUCCACCUGCCUCUAUCGCUCCUCCUCAGUAUUACCCCCAAGCCUACCAGACCGUGCCGGGUAUUCUACAAAUAUGAAAAAACCUUCUUCUCUUUUUAUUAGCUUAUCGAAAUGAAGGAUUUUGAGAUUUGGGCUUUUGUUAGAUGGAUGGUUAAUGAUAUUUUUUAGAUGAAAGAUACAAGUUUUUUAAUGUUUUAGAAGAAAAGGUGUUUAAAUAUUAGGAGUUUUUUAGCAGAGAAAGAAGAUAAAUAAAUGCAUAGAGAUACAUUAGCAAUAUUAUUUGGAUUUGGUUGUCUAAUGUAAUGAAGAAUUUUUUAAGGGUGACCUGAGUAGGUGUGGCAAGAUUCAAAGUUUUUUCUAUUAUAGCAGAUAUAUAUAUAUUAAUGGUUUAAGAAGACUAGAAGUCGGUUUCAAAGGAAGAUGAGAAAUAAAAGCAUUUAUAUAUAUGAUAUGUCAUUAAUUCAUAAACCAAAUAUAUAAAGUAUGUAAAAGUGUCAGGGGUUAAUCAUGGUGUUUUGACAAUCCGGUAACCUUCAACUUGAAGAAAACCUUAGGUUUCAAAAAUUUAUGUGAAGAGUUAGAAUGGUAUGCUUCAUGGAUCUGAAUAACUAGAACAGUGUAAGAGUGGUAUAUUGUGUCAAGUUUGGUUUCUUGUAUAUAAUUGUAUCGAAAACAAUGUUACAUGAGUUAAAAUGAAUGUUCAUCCAAUUUAACAAAGCCUGCAUUAUGUUGAUCAAAAUUUUUAAUUCAUGUUGAGGUUUCUUCCGUGAUAUCUUUGAUGUCAAGGUUAUGAUGUUGCUGAAGGGACACCUGUAAGAGAUAAGCCACCGUGCUGUGGCAUUGGAUUCGGAUGGUUCUUGUAAGUGUACAUAGUUUUCUUUGUUUUUAAAGAGUUCUUUACAUAUGAAGUAAAACAAGUAGCGACUUGAUGGAUAUGUCAUUAAGCUUUAACUUAAGCAAAUCAUUUUCCUUCAUCUCUAAUUGCCAUUUCUUUAAAAGAAAAAGAGGAAGUUUUGUAGUUUACAGUUUGGACAAAUGGAAGUUAAUAUAAUGCACUAUUUGGAUGGACUAUGGAGAUAUCCAAUCAUAUUGGAUGAGUUAUAAGAAACCUGUGAGUUCAUAUUGGGUUUACUUUAUAUCAUAAUUAGAUUGUUGAGCUGGCUGUCAUACUUAGAUGGUAUUUCACGUUGCUACUUGUUAAACUAUACCACUUUCACAUUCAUACGUGAAAUGGCUGGGAUUUAGUGCCAUUCUACUUAGCAGCCUCGUGUAAUACACAGGUGAAAUGUUUAUGUCUUCAUGUCACCUUAAAGUUCCCAUUUCCAUGACGGUAUUGUUAAGUAAAGACUGGUACAUACCCCAAAAUACGGAAAUUGUUUUGGAUGUAUACUAUACUUUACCAUGCAUGAUUUUUUACAAGUUUGCAUGGUAUUUUAUCAUUAUAUUGGUCUUUAUUUUCUAUACUCGCAGCUUCCAUUAAUAUAUUUUUAUGAAUUUUAUCAUUAUGCUGGUUUGAAGGUUCAUCAUUGGUUUCUUCAUUGGGGGCCAUCCCUGGUAUAUUGGAUUCUUUGUUUUACUUUGUGCAAGGAUAGACGACAGAGAGAAAGCAGGAUAUAUUGCAUGCACAAUUGCCGUGAGUAUCUUUUCUAUCAUUAUUUUUUUCUUUUCCAAUUUUAUGAAAGCCAUCCUUCCUGCCUUGUAUUGAUCAUCAAUUUAACCAUUAUAUAUAUGUAUCUUAUGUAUUUGUACCAUGCUUUAUCUUCAAUGCAAAUAUAAGUUAAACUACAAAGAUUGGAUUGUUAAAAAAAGUUUAAAAUGUUAAAAAAAUUGAAAAUUUUGAUUUUGUAAGAAUGAUAGAAAACCAAGGCCAGUGCUUGCAUAUGUUAUCUACUACAUGCACAAUCGGGUCGAUGUCUGUAUAUGUUUCAUGUUUAGAAAUCGUGUUCAAUUGGGUUACGAUAUGUACAAUUGAAGUGUCAAUUUAUAAUUUCCUUAUCAAGAUUACACAUUUUUUUGUUAAUAUUCGGAAUCACUCAAUGGUUAUAAACCCUGAUUGGAUACUGUCCACAAAGUCUAGUUGGAACAUCCCUUGUAUUCUUUGUCCUUUCUAAGAACUUUCCUUUCCAUCAUUCUCGCUUCUGUUUUUUUUUUCUUCCCUCUACUUUAAGUCAUUAUCUAACGUAGAUAUCCCUUGUAUUCUUUGUCCUUUCUAUGGCAAUCGAGUCAAUUGAUGGCAAGCCAAAAAAACAAAAAGAGCAGCUAUCCUGUCUUACUCGAUUGCCAUCCCUCCUGUUAAACACCAUUAAGAAAAGGAAAAUUUUAGUUAAGCUUUAAAACAGCCAUGUUUUAACGAUGUUGGUGAUGGUGCUUGUGCAGGCCCUUCUUGCUACAAUUACAAUUAUUCUUAGUGCAACAAUUAAAGCUGGUGGGUGAUAAAGCACACCUCUUUUGACUGAGAGAUGUAUAGGUUCCCAAAUAAUAUGUAUAUGCUCCCCCCCCUCCCUUUAUUUUAUUUUAUUUCCAGUAAGUUAUUGUUUAUGAUAAUUUGCAACAAAUGUUUUUGUCAUUAUUUUGUUGGUGAAUGAUAAUAAGAUUAAGCUUUACUUUCUUAAGCUCCAAUUCCUUGGACGUUGGUGAUUUUUUUAUUAUAGUUGAGUCAUUGUAUGGUAUUAAUAUAAUUUAUGUCGCUUAAAAUUUAUAACUAAAAAUAUAAAAUUUAAAUUUUACUUCAAUUUAUUUGUAUUUAUAAAUGGUUAAUUCAAACUUAUUUUUUUCCUCAUUAUAUUUUAUAUUUAAAUUAACAUUUAAACUAUUUUUCAUUAGCAAUGUUGUUAAGAAUUAUAUUUUUUAGCACCAACAUCAAACUUACUAAAAUUAAAUUUUUAACUAUUUAAAAAAAAUAUUUUUAGCUAUUUAUCAUCAUAGAGAAAAAAAGGUGACGUCACCACGCCUCAUGCUUCGACACCACAAACUAGACUCUCAUCACCCGUAUUUAUCAUCGAUUCAAAUUCCAGAACUACCUAAAAAUAUAUCUUCAAACUUCCUCUGGUUAAGUUCAUUGAUAGUCAACUUACUAUCAUUUCUAAAAAAAAAACAAAUAAAUUGGUUAAUAGUAAUCUCAAUGAUUCAAUUUUAUUCUUACCAGUAUCUGUCCUUUAGAAAGGGGCUUAUAAAAGGGGUAGAGGUGAGUAAACUUGAGCUUCAGCUUUCCACAAACACCUUAAUUUGAAGACACAGUUCUCUCAUACUAAAAAAGACAUGGAAGUUUACCUUGUAAUUAGAGAUUUGGUUUCAUUGCUUGUUGUUGGGUUAUUAAUGAUAUGGGGAUGCAGAACUUUAAACUGGGUAUGGCUGGCCCCAAAAAGGCUCGAAAGCUGCUUGAGACAACAGGGUUUUGCAGGGAAUCCUUACAGGUUCCUUUCUGGUGACAUAAAAGAGCUCUCAACUAUGAGCAGACAAACAAGAGCCAAACCUAUGCCUCUUAGUGAUGAUAUUGGGCCUUAUGUUGUUCCUUUUCAACAUCAAACUGCUAACCAGUAUGGUAUGUUUUUUUUGUUUAAUCUGCAAUUUAUGAUAAUUCUUUGUUAUUUAUGUAUGGAAUUUAUUGGGAGGAAAUGCAGGAAAGAAUUCAUUUACGUGGUUUGGUCCAAGACCAAGGGUGAACAUUACGGACCCUGAAAAAAUAAGAGAAAUACUUAACAAAUUUAAUGACUUCCAGAAGAUACAUACCAAUCCACUGCUUAAUUUGCUUGUAAGCGGCCUUGCUAACCUCGACGGAGACCGAUGGAGCAAGCGUAGAAAAAUCAUAAACCCUGCAUUUCAUCAAGAUAAGUUGAAGGUAUAGAAUAGUGAUGGGUAAUCAGACUUUACAGAAAACAUCAUACUUAAACCUAUGCUUUUCUGAUUUAGAAAUAAUUGGAUGCAGAAUAUGUUGCCAGCAUUUUAUCAAAGUUGUAGUGACAUGUUAAGCAAAUGGGAGAAGAUGGUGUGUACAAAAGGAUACAGUGAGUUAGAUGUGUGGCCUUAUCUCGUAGAUUUGACAAGAGAUGUGAUUUCCCGAUCUGCUUUUGGAAGCAGCUUCGAAGAAGGCAAACGAAUUUUCCAAUUACUAGAGGACCAACUCGUUCACAUAAUCAAAUUAAUACAAACUGUUUACAUUCCAGGAUGGAGGUAACCGUCAACUUAAUUUACUUGAAAAAGGUUGCAAAUGUUGGAAUUCGCUAAAUUCGUGUUUGUUUUCUUGAAGGUUUUUGCCAACGAAGACAAACAGGGAGAUGAAGAUGAAACACAGGGACAUAAAAGAGUUGCUUAUGGAAAUGAUAAAGAGAAGGGAGAAGGCAAUUAAAGCAGGGGAAGAGAGCAAUGAGGACUUGUUGGACAUACUUGUGGAAUCCAAUAUCAGAGAAAUGGAAGCAAAGAAUAUUGGGAUGAGCAUUGAGGAUGUGAUUGAGGAAUGCAAGCUGUUUUACUUAGCUGGCCAAGAGACCACUUCGGUCUUACUGGUGUGGACUAUGGUUUUAUUAGCAAGGUAUCCCGAUUGGCAAAGUAAAGCAAGAGAGGAGGUUUUGCAUGUUUUGGGUGACAGUAAACCUGACGCUGAUGGCCUUAAUCGUCUCAAAGUUGUAAGUCCCUAGCAUGUCUUUUGAAGGUCCGAUCAAUGAGGUCGACAACUCAAAAACUUUGUUUCUUUUUUCGCUAAUUCUACAGGUAACAAUGAUAUUGUACGAGGUUCUAAGGCUGUACCCACCGGUGGUUGAGCUAGAACGUUCCGUUCCAAAAGAAAUAAAACUGGGGAAUUUGUUGUUACCAGUAGGAACAGAAGUUUCGGUUCCGAUCCUGCUGAUCCACCAUGACAAAGAUCUUUGGGGCGAUGACGCACGGGAAUUUAAGCCAGAGCGGUUCGCGGAAGGGGUUUCCAAAGCAACAAAGAGUCAAGUCACGUUUCUGCCAUUCGGAUGGGGUCCUAGGAUCUGUAUUGGCCAAAAUUUUGCUAUGAUGGAAGCCAAAAUGGCGAUGGCUAUGAUUCUCCAACGCUUCUGGUUCGAGCUUUCCCCUUCCUAUGCUCACUCUCCUUACGGCAGGGCAACUCUUCGUCCACAGCAUGGUGCACAGAUAAUUUUACAUAAACUUGGCUGUAAUUGAAUUGUUAUGUAAACAAAUCUUUGUGAAAACAUAGCGUUUUAGUUUAUCGUCAAAGUCCGGUGUCUGUAAUGGUACAAAUUCGAUGCAUGAAUAGUAAAGUUUGAGAUGUUUGGUGAAGUCCGAAAUAAUAUGCAGAAAUUGAGUGUGGUAAUUAUCAAUCAAAUAAUUCGGUACAAAGACUUACAUGGAAAUUAAAGCAGGGGGAGUUGAAAAUGACUACUCUGCUUUGGGCAUCAAUUUAGAAAGAUUUAAAGUACAAAUGUGUUAUUAGUUAAGGGAUUUGUUUUAAAGAGGGAAUGACAAUUAAACCUCAUGGUUGAUUUGUGGAAGGGAACCGAUGAUGGGAUGAUUAUUCUUAGUGGUAAAAAAAACUAUUGUGGAGGUUAUUAUACUUGUUAUCAUCGGCUUAAAAUUCGAAUGGGUUCAAGUCGGAUUAUAUCGAGCUUGUAAGAUGAGUUCACGGAUCAAAUUUGCAUAAUAAAAAUACUUAAAUGAAAAAAAUUUCUAUUUUAGAGGGACCAGAGCCCCUACCAAUUCCCGGCUCAGCUACUAAACAAUACCCAUAUCAUAUAAAUAAAUACCACCAUAAAAAAAACUCAAAGAAAAACACUGACAAAUGAUAAAUAGAUAGAUGUUGGAUAAGUGUCCAAAAUAUGAUUUAAGUGAAGAUACAUGGGGUAGGUGUCACGGAAAUGUGAAUACAAGAAUACUACUAAUGGGAUGUGUACAGUUGAAUGUAGGGAGCAAAAAGAGGAGUGAAUCAUUUUGGUAACAUUGGGACAAGAAACAUAAUGAACAAAAUGGAAGGAGAGGAAGCUAGUAAAAGAAAUUUUUUGGGUCAUAUAAUUUGUUUGGCAUAUAUUUUUAUAAUUUUUAAAUAUCAUUUUGGACUUGAAUUAUAAUUUUUUUAUAUAUUAUCUUAAAAUUGUAUAAAUUUUAAGGAGUUAAAACAAAAUUAUUCUAUUUUUAGAUGGUUAAAGUAGAGAUGAUAAUGGGUUGAGCUAUUCGGCCCAGCCUGACGAUCCACCCGAAAAAUAGGAAGGUUUGGGUAAAAAUAUAGGCUUGAAAUAUGAAUUUGAGCAAAAAAAGAGGCCCGUUUAGAAAAUGGGCCGAGCCUCGGGUAAAACCUUUUGGGUCUAGACCUGACCUAAAUUAUAUAUUAAAUAUAUAUAUUUUUAUUUUUAAUCAAAUAUACUUUUGUUUUAUUAUUAAUUUGGUUAUUAUUUUAGUUCUAAUUUGUUUCAAUUUUAAUAUAACUACUUUUUAUUAUAUUUUCAAUUUGUGCAUUGUUUUAAGAAUUAUUUUAGUCUCAUUAUUUAUUUAUUUUUUAUUUUAAUAUUUGUUUUAAAAUUUUUUAUUUAUUGAAAUAAGCUAAAAAAAUUAAUAUGGGUUGGACCAGACCGGGCUCGGGCCUAGUAAUUUUCUUUUGGGCCGGACUUAAACAAAUUUUUAAGCCCAUAUUUUGAAUUGGGUCCUACACUAGAAAAUGGACCUAAAAUUUUGUAUUACCUUUAGGUCAGAGCUAUCCUCGUUUUGCAUUUCUUUGAGAUUCAGCCUUAUUUACUUUUGAUUGCCCACUCAAUAGAGGGUUGAGUAGAAAUAUUUGGUGAAGCAAGCUAAGCUAUCAAUCAAGGUGUGCAUAAUUAUUUAAAUGUAAUUCUAAUAUUAAAAUAAAAUUUUUAUUAAUAUAGUAUCAACAAGCAUUAAAUGUAAUCAUCAUAUACUAUUAAAUUUUCAAUAAGAGAAAACAAGCUUGAACUUUAAAAACGAUGUUACUAAAAACAUUAUCACAAAUCUUGAAAUAUAAAAAAUACUUUUUAAUAUAAUAAAAAAAUAAUUUUAAAACCGAGAUGAAUAAAAUUCUAAUUUUAAUUAAUGAUACCAACAACAAAUCAAUAUUUAAAUUAAAAUUUAUCUUAAUUUAAUAUAAUAAAAUUGGACUUGAAUAUUGAAUUUUUGAGUCUUGGGCAAAGUAGAGGUGCUCAUGGGCCGGGUUGGGUCGGGUUUGGGAAAAAUUUCGGCCCGCAUCCUAGGCUCGGGCUCGGCCCGACCCAAAUAUGGGCCUAAAAUUUUGUCUAGGCCUAGCCCGGCCCGGCCCAACUCAUUUUUUUUAAUAAACACCAAAAAUUUAUUUUGAAAAUAAAAAAAUAAAAAAAGUAUUUUAAAAAUAUUUUAAAAUUUUUAAAAAAUAUAUAUAUUUAUUAUAUAUUCGGGCCGGGCCAGGCCCGAGCCAAAAAAGUGGCGCCCAAGGCCCGGCCUGUUUUCUAAACGGGACUCAUUUUUUACCCAAACCCAUAUUUCGGGCCUAUAUUUCUACCCGAAUCUCUCAUAUUUAGGGCGAACCGUCGGGCCGGACCGGGCCGCCCGGCCAUGAACACCUCUAGGACAAAGUCACUCAAUGAAUGCAUGGAAAGAAAUAAUGCAACUUGGUGAUAGCUUUUGUUGGAGUUAUAUGCUUUUUUUUUACGUAGUGGAACUUUCGGUGGAUUUUCAAGUUUCAUGAACUUUAUACUCUAUGCUUUACGUGAAAAAAAAAAUUCAUUGGACUUAAAAGUCUACCAAAAGUUUCACUAAAAAAAAAACCAUUGCUACAAGAUUACAACAUAAAGUUACAAUAAGAGCUUAUAACUCAACAAAGGCUAUCAAUAAAUAAUCUCAAACAAAUUAAAGAGAAAUGUUGAGAGUACCACUCGAAUAGUGAUUAACUUUAAAAAUUGAAAACCCAAAGUUAUAAUAUCCCAAACGAAAUCAAACCAUAAACAUUAAAUUUUUCGAGUCUACUAGAUACUGCAAAAAAUUCAGCUCCAACAGACACCAAAUGAACCUAUGAUCGAAGAAAAUACGAAAACUAGUCUAGCUAAAUCAAGCUGCCAAACUUACUUUUUAUCUUAUCUUUAAUUUGCUGUGAAAUUCAAAACUAAGGUUUUGUACUUAGAACAACUUUCAAAAAGUUAAUUUUGAAAAAUGGAUUGAAUUUUCAAAAUAGAUGAUAUUUUAUUGUGUUAAAAUUUUAUUCGUUGUUUGAAAAAAAAUUUAAAUCAUUUUCUUAGAAUUAUUUUUAGUGAAACAAACAUAUCAUAAAUAUAUUUGUUAUAAAAUAUUUAUAUUAAUAUUUUCUUUUAACAAUUAAAAUAUAUUUUGUGAUAAGGUAUAUUUUAUAAUAAUUAAUAUCAUAUAUACUUAAUAAUAAAUCAUGUCUAAUUAAAAUUUAAUUUCAAUUAAAUAUAUUAAUAAAGCUACAUAUAAUCAUAUUUUAUAUAAUAAAAAUAUUAAUAUAAAUAUUUUUUUAAUAAUAUAUUAAAGAAUAUUUAAAAUUUAAAUUUAUUAUUACUAAGAUUAAUUAUUAAAAUAAAAAUGUAAUGUUAAAUAAUUUAUCCAAUGAUAAGUUAUAUUAAUAAUUUAUUAUAUUAUUAAAUAUAAAUAAUUAAAUAUGUAUGUUUAAUAAUAUUAUGUUAUAAUAUUUAUUAUUAAUAUUUUAAUAUUUUUAAACAACCAUGUUUUAAAGAUGGUGGUGAUGGUGAUGGUGCAGGCCCCCUUGUUACAAUUACAAUAUUUUUAAGUGGGAUGCAUGUAAUAUAUUGUUAGGGUUUUAGAGUGUGUGGUCUUUAAAAGGGUUAAAUUAUAUAUUUAUAUAAUAUGAUUAUUGUUUAUAAAUAUAAUAUUGUAGAUAAACUUUUAUGCAUGUCAAUAUGUAUCCUACUCUGGGGUUAAUAUGUAUUUUUAGAUAUGGAUUCACCUAUAUAAUAGUAUGAAUCCAUCAUGCGGUCUCAUGAAAUAUACAAACACAUAUCGUGCGAACACAAAGUACGAACAAUAAAAAGUACAAAUCAAGACCAAUUGAGUAAUUGAAUAGCAGAUAGGUAAUAAUGACUAUCCCCUCUUGUUUGAAUUUAUUUUAUUUCCAGUGAGUUAUCGUUUAUGAUAAAUUUACAACAAAUGUUUUUAUCAUUAUUUUGUUGGUAAAUGAUAAUAAGAUUAAACUUUACUUUCUUAAGCUCCUUCAAUUCUUUGGACGUUAGCAAGUAAACUUGAGCUUCAGCAUUCCACAAACACCUUAAUUUGAAGACACAGUUCUCCCAUACUAAAAACAACAUGGACGUUUACCUUGUAAUUAGAGAUUUGGGCUCAUUGUUAGGUUAUUAAUGAUACGGGGAUGGAGAGCUUUAAACUGGGUAUGGCUGGCCCCAAAGAGGCUCGAAACGUGCUUGAGACUAGAGGUCCAGGCAAAUUUUUAGGCCCAUUUUUUAGGCCUGGACUGGGCCCGACUCGAAAUAUGAGCUUAAAAAUUUGUCUAAGUUCGGUCCAAAAGAAAAUUGUUAAGCCUAAGCCCGGCCCAUAUUAAAUUUUACAACACCAAAAAACUAUAUAUUUAAUAUAUAUAUUUGAUUAAAAAGUAUAUUUAAUUAAAAAUAAAAAUAUAUAUUUAAUAUAUAAUUCGGGCCGGGCCGAACUCGGGCCAAAAAAGUUUUACUCGGGGCUGGUCCGUUUUCUAAACAGACCUCGUUUUUUUGUCAAAAUCCAUAUUUUAGGCUUAUAUUUUUACCCGAAACUUCCUAUUUUUCGGGUGAACCGUCAGGCCGGACUAGGUAGCCCAACCAAUGAUCACCUCUACUUGAGACAACAGGGUUUUGCAGGGAAUUCUUACAGGUUCGUUUCUGGCGACAUAAAAGAGCUCUUCACUAUAAGCAUACAAACAAGAGCCAAACCUAUGCCUCUUAGUGAUGAUAUUGGGCCUUAUGUUGUUCCUUUUCAACAUCAAACCGUCAAUCAGUAUGGUAUGUUUUUUAAUUUAAUCUGCAAUUUAUGAUAAUUCUUUGCUAUUUAUGUAUGGAAUUUAUUGGGAGGAAAUGCUGGGAAGAAUUCAUUUACGUGGAUUGGUCCAAGAUCAAGGGUGAACAUUACGGACCCGGAAAAAUAAGAGAAAUACUUAACAAAUUUAAUGACUUCCAGAAGGUACGUACCAAUCCACUGCUUAAUUUGCUUGUAAGCGGCCUUGUUAACCUCGAAGGAGACCGAUGGAGCAAGCAUAGAAAAAUCAUAACCCUUCAUUUCAUCAAGAUAAGUUGAAGGUAUAGAAUAGUGAUGGGUACUUAGACUUAAUUUACAGAAAACAUCAUACUUAAAUCUAUGCUUUUCUGAUUUAGAAAUGAUUGGAUGCAGAAUAUGUUGCCAGCAUUUUAUCAAAGUUGUUGUGACAUGUUAAGCAAAUGGGAGAAGAUGGUGUGUACAGAAGGAUACAGUGAGUUAGAUGUGUGGCCUUAUCUUGUAGAUUUGACAAGAGAUGUGAUUUCCCGAUCUGCUUUUGGAAGCAGCUUCGAAGAAGGCAGACGAAUUUUCCAAUUACUAGAGGACCAACUCGUUCUCACAAUCAAAUUAAUACAAACUGUUUACAUUCCAGGAUGGAGGUAACCCUCAACUUAAUUUACUUGAAAAAGGUUGCAAAUGUUGGAAUUGGCUAAAUUCGUGUUUGUUUUCUUGAAGGUUUUUGCCAACAAAGACAAACAGGGAGAUGAAGAUGAAACACAGACAUAAAAGAGUCGCUUAGGGAAAUGAUAAAGAGAAGGGAGAAGGCAAUUAAAGCAGGGGAAGAGAGCAAUGAGGACUUGUUGGACAUACUUGUGGAAUCCAAUAUCAGAGAAAUGGAAGCAAAGAAAAAGGGGAUGAGCAUUGAGGAUGUGAUUGAGGAAUGCAAGCUGUUUUACUUUGCUGGCCAGGAGACCACUUCGGUCUUGCUGGUGUGGACUAUGGUUUUAUUAGCAAGGUAUCCCGAUUGGCAAAGUAAAGCAAGAGAGGAGGUUUUGCAUGUUUUGGGUGACAGUAAACCUGAUGCUGAUGGCCUUAAUCGUCUCAAAGUUGUAAGUCCCUAGCAUGUCUCUUGAAGGUCCGAUCUCUGAGGUCGACAACUCAAAAACUUGGUUUCUUUGUUUCGCUAAUUCUACAGUUAACAAUGAUAUUGUACGAGGUUCUAAGGCUGUACCCACCAGUGAUUGAGCUAGGACGUUCCGUUCCAAAAGAAAUAAAACUGGGAAAUUUGUUGUUACCAGCAGGAACAGACGUUUCGGUUCCAAUCCUGCAGAUCCACCAUGACAAAGAUCUUUAGGGCGACGACGCACGGGAAUUUAAGCCACAGCGGUUCACGGAAGGGGUUUCCUAAGCAACAAAGAGUCAAGUCACGUUUCUGCCAUUCGGAUGGGGUCCUAGGAUCUGCAUUGGCCAAAACUUUGCCAUGAUGGGAACCAAAAUGGCGAUGGCUAUGAUUCUCCAACGCUUCUGGUUCGAGCUUUCCUCUUCCUAUGCUUACUCUCCUUACAACAUGGCAACUCUUCGUCCACAGCAUGGUGCACAGAUAAUUUUACAAAAACUUGGCUGUAAUUGAAUUGUUAUGUAAACAAAUCUUUGUGAAAAUAUAGUGUUUUAGUGUAUCGUCAAAGUCUGCCUGUAAUGGUACAAUUCCGAUGCAUGAAUAGUAAAUCUUGAGAUGUUUGGUGAAGUCCGAAAUAAUAUGCAGAAAUUGAGUGUCUUGAAUGGAUGUAGUAUUUAAUGGUGGACAUAGUUGAGGGACUAAUGUGGUAAUUAUCAAACAAAUAAUUGCAUAUGGUACAAAGACUUGUAUGGAAAUUAGAGCAGGGCGAGUUGAAAAUUACUACUUUGCUUCGGGCAUCAAUUUAGAAAGAUUUAAAGUACAAAUGUAUUAUUAGUUUAAGGGAUUUGUUUUAAAGAAGGAAUGACAAUUAAACCUCAUGGUUGAUGUGUGGAAGGGAACCAAUGAUGGGAUGAUUACUCUUAGUGGUAAAAAAAAAAACUAUUAAGGUGGUUAUUAUAGUUGUUAUCACCGGCCCAAAAUUCGAAUAGGUUCAGGUCGGAUUAUAUUGAGCUUGUAGAUGAGUUUGCAUGAUAAUAGGUGUUCACAGAAAGAUAUCUAUAGUUUCCUACAAAGUCACAUGUGAGAUCGUGCAUUGGGACCGCAUAAAAAUGUUUUAUGUUUAGAAUAUGAUACGUGUCUAUGUGUAUGGAAUCUACCUAAUAUAUCAUAUUAAUUAAUAGUAUCAAUUGCGGAGCCAAAAAAUUAUUUCUGAGGGGUCAGAAUUAAAUUGUAUAUUUUUACAAAAAUAAAAAUUAAAUUUCACUAUUUUAAUAGUUUAUUUCUUUUUAAUUUUUAAAUGAUUAAAUUAAAUUUUUAUAAAUUUUUGGGAUCAAAGUACAAUUUUAUCAUUUCUAAUUUAAAAUUUUAUAAAAUAUAAAAAGUUUAUAUGAAAAGUUUUCUAUUUUAGAGUGGCCAAAGCCCCUGCCAACUUCCGACUCGAUCACUAAACAAUAUAAAUAAAUAAAUACCACCAUCUAAAAGACUCAAGAAAAACACUCAACGAUAAAUAGAUAGAUGUUGGGUAAAGAUACGUUUGGAUGGGCGGUGCGUUUACUUGCGGUUAGUAUAAAAAUAGCGGUGGCGGUUAGAUUAGAUACUAUAGCAACACUGUAGCGUAAGACAAAAAAUAAGCUAAACGUACUGCACUGCACUUAAUCGCCCAUCCAAACUCACCCUAAGUGUACAAAAUAUGAUUUAAGUGAAGAUACGUAGGGUAGGUGUCAUGGAAAUGUAAAAGACAAGAAUCCCACUAAUGUAUGGGAUGUGUACAGCUGAAUGUAGGGAGCAAAGAGGAGUGAAUCAUUUUGGUAACAUUUGGACAAGAAACAUAAUGAACAAAAUGAAAGGAGAGGAAGCUAGUAAAAGAUUUUUUUGAGUUAUAUAAUUUGUUUGGCAUAUAUUUUUAUAAUUUUUAAAUAUCAUUUUGGAGUUGAAUUAUAAUUUCUUUUUAUGUUUUAAAACAUAAUUAUUCUAUCUUCAAAGGGUUAGAGUAGAGGUGAGCAUGGGUCGGGCUACUCGGCCCGAAAUGUGAGAGAUUUGGGCAAAAAUAUAGGCUCAAAAAAUGGACUUGGACAAAAAAAUAUAAGACCCGUUGAAAAAUGGGCCGGGCAUUGGGUAAGGCAUUUUUGGCCCUGGGCCCGGCCCAAUCCUAAUUCACUAAAGGACAAAAAAAAUUUGAUUUUUAAAUAUUAUUUUCUUCCUAUUUUGCUACCAUUUUACUAUUAUGUUGCUACUAUUUUGUUGUUAUUUUUUGGAUAUUGUAUAAAACUUAUUUUAUUGUUAAUUUUGUUAUUAUUUUAAAGACAUUUGUUAAUUUUGUUAUUAUUUUAGAGACAUUUGCUUGUUAAGUUGUAUCUAUCUUAGUGUUAUUUAAGUGUACAUAUUUUUUAAAAUUUAUUUUCAAUUUAUUGGGAAAUAUUUAUUUUGAUGUUUUUAGUAUUUUGGAUGUAUUAUAUAUAUUAAAAUUAUAUAAAAAUUAAUAUGGCCGAGCCGAGUCAGGCCCAGAUUUUAGCAUUUUUAUUCAGGUCGGGCUUGAGCAAAAUUUUAAGCCCAUUUUUUGGGCCAAACCAGGCCUGGGCUUAGCAAAUGGGCCUAAAUUUUUAGUCAAGCCCGACCUAAACCCGAUCCGGCCCAUGCUCACCUCUAGAUCAGAGCUGCCCUCGCUUUGCAUUUCUUUGAGAUUCAGUCUUAUCUACUGUUGAUUGCCCACUCAAUGGAGGGUUGAGUAGAAAGAUUUGGUGAAGCAAGCUAAGCUAUCAAUCAAGGUUGGAGAAAGCUUAGGAGGUCACAAUGCAUAAUUAUUUAAAUGUAAUUCUAAUAUUUAAAUAAAAUUUAUUAAUAUAGUAUUAACAAGCCCUAAAUGUAAUGAGUAUAUACUAUUACAUUUUUAAGAAGAGAAAACAUGUUUGAACCUUAAAAACAUCAUUAUUAAAAAUGAUAAUUACAAAUUUUAAAAUAUAAAAAAUAUAAUUAAAAAUUAAUUUUAAACCCGAGCUGGAUAAAAUUCUAAUUUUAGAUAACGAUACUAAUAAGAAAUCAAUAUUAAAAUGAAAAUGAAAAGUAAUUUAAUAUAAUUUUUGAGUCUUGGGCAAAGGCACUCAAUGAAUGCUUGGAAAGAAAUAAUGCAACUUGGUGAUAGCUUUUGUUGGAGUAGUAUGCUCUUAUUAUAGUUUUAUGUUUUUAUCUUGCAAAAACAACAUAUUGGAGUUUUCGGCAUGAUUUUUUCUUAAUACUUUACAUGAAAAAUAAUAAUGGGACUUAAAAAUCUAUCAAAAGCUUCACCAUAAUAAUAAUAAUAAUAAUAAUAAUAAUAAAUUGCUACAAUAUUACAACACAAAGUUACAAUAAGAGCUUAUAACUCAACAAAGGUUAUCAAUAAAUAAUCUCAGGCAAGCUAAAGAGAAAUGUUGAGAAUACCACCCGAAUAGUGACUGACUUUAAAAGUUGAAAACCCGAAGCUAUAGUAUCUCAAACGAAAUCAAACCAUUAACAUUAAAAUUUUCAAGUCUACUAGCUACUGUAAAAAAUGCAGCUCCAACAUACACCAAAUGAGUCUUUGAUCGAAGAAAGUACAAAAACUAGUCUGGGUAAACCAAGCUGCCAAACUUACUUAUCUUAUCUUUAAUUUUGCAGUGAAAUUAAAAAUUAAGUUUUUGUUUAUUUCACUUGGAACAACUUUCAAAAAAUUAUUUUUGAAAAAUGGAUUGGUUUUUCGAAAUAGAUGAUAUUUUAUUGUGUUAAAAUUUUAUUCGUUGUUGGAAAACUUUUUUUAAAUCAUUUUCUUAAAGUUAUUUUUAGUGAAACAAACAUAACAUAAAUAUAUUUGUUACAAAAAAAUUAUAUUAGUAUUUUCUUUUGACAAUUAAAAUUUAUUUUAUGAUAAGACAAUAUUUUGUAAUAAUUAAUAUCAUAUAUAUAUACGUAAUAAAAAAAUCUUGUUUAAUUAAAAUUUAAUUAAAAUUAAAUAUAUUAAUAAAGCUACAUAUAAUCAUAUUUUUUAUAAUUAAAAUAUUAAUAUAAAUAUUUUUCAAUAAUAUAUUAAAAUAUUAAAAUUUAAAUUAUUAUUACUUAAAUUAAUUAUUAAAAUAAAAAAUUUAAUAUUAAAUAAUUUAUUCAAUGAUAAGUUUUAUUAAUAAUUUAUUGUAUUAUUAAAUAUAAUUAAUUAAAUAUGCAUAUUUAAUAAUAUUACGUUAUAAUAUUUUAAUAUUCUUAAACAGCCAUGUUUUUAAGAUGCUGGUGAUGGUGAUGCUGCGGGCCUCUCUUGUUACAAUUACUAUAAUUUUUUGUGCAAUAAUUGAAGUUGUUGGGUGGUCAAGCAAACCUCUUUUGACUGAGAUGCAUAUAAUAUACCCGCAUGUCCCCGCCUCCUAAAAUUUAAAUUUGUUAUUUGAAUCUUUAAAUUUUUUAAUAUAAUAUACCCGCAUGUCCCCGCCUCCUAAAAUUUAAAUUUGUUAUUUGAAUCUUUAAAUUUUUUAAAAAUUUUAAAUUCAUAAAAGUAAAAUUAUACUUUGACCCUCUAAAAUUAUAAAAAUUUAAUUAAUCUUUUAAAUUCAUUGGGCCCCUAAUAUAUUGUUCAGGCUUCACCCUUGAUACUGAUGUUGACUAUUUUAGAGUAUGUGUCUUCUUUAACAGGGUUAAAUUAUAUAUUUAUAUAAUAUAGUUAUUGUUUAUGGACGUGACAUCGUAACUAGGUUCUUAUGCAUGUCAACAUAUAUCCUAUUUUAAGGUUAACACGUAUUUUUAAAUGUGAAUUCACCUAUAUAAUGGUAUGAACCAUCAUGCAGUCUCAUAAAAUAUGCGAAUAUAUGUCGUGCGAACACAAAGUACAAUCCACACAGAAUACGAAUUAAGACCCAAUUGAAUAAUCGGAUACGAAUCAGUAAUAAUGAAUUUCAUAACAGCCACCAACCCCUCUUUUGUUUUAAUUUAUUUUAUUUCCAGUAAGUUAUUGUUUGUGAGAAUUCACAACAAAUGCUUUUGUCAUUAUUUUGUUGGUAAAUAAUAAUAAGAUUAAACUUUACUUUCUUAAGCUCCUUCAAUUCUUUGGAAGUUGGUGGUUUUUUAUUCUAAUCUUAUUUUUUUUAUUAAUUUCUUUUUUUAUAAUAAAUGUGUUUAUAGAUCAGGUUGGAUUAUAAUUGAAUCAUUGUCUGGUAUUAACAUAAUUUAAAUCGAUUAAAAUUUAUUCGACUGGAAAUAUAAAUUUAAAAUUUUACUUCAAUUUAUCUUAAUUUAUAAAUUGUGAAUUUAAAUUUAUUUAUUUUCUCUCAUUAUAUUCAGUUUUUCGGAUCAUAUUUGGCCCAGAACAAAAACUAGAACAAAAAAACAAAUAUAUAUGUUUUCCAAAAAUUAAAUUGUUAACUUUAAAAAAAUAUAUUUUUAGCUAUUUAUCAUCAUAGAGAAAAACAAAUAAGGUCACCUCGCCUUAUGCUUCAACACCUCAACCUAGAUUCUCAUCACCUGUAUUUAUCAUCGAUUCAGAUUUUUAUUUUUACUAUAUUCUAGAUCUACCUAUAAAUAUAUCUUCAAACUUCCUCUGGUUAAGUUCAUUCAUAGAUAGGUGAGUAAACUUGAGCUUCAGCUUCAACAAACACCUUAGUUUGCAAUUCUCUCAUACUAAAAAUAUGGAAGUUUACCAUGUAAUUAGAGAUUUGGUCUCAUUGCUUGUUGUUGGUUUAUUAAUGAUAUGGGGAUGGAGAGCUUUAAACUGGGUAUGGUUGGCCCCAAAGAGGCUCGAAAGGUGCUUGAGACAACAGGGUUUUGCAGGGAAUCCUUACAGGUUCCUUUCUGGUGACAUAAAAGAGCUCUUAACUAUGAGCAGACAAACAAGAGCCAAACCUAUGCCUCUUAGUGAUGAUAUUGGGCCUUAUGUUGCUCCUUUUCUUCAUCAAACUGUCAACCAGUAUGGUAUGUUUAAUUAUUAUUUAAUCUUCAAUUUAUGAUAAUUCUUUGUUAUUUAUGAAUGGAAUUUAUUGGGAGGAAAUGCAGGAAAGAAUUCAUUUACGUGGAUUGGUCCAAGACAAAGGGUGAACAUUAUGGACCCUGAAAAAAUAAGAGAAAUAUUUACCAAAUUUAAUGACUUCCAGAAGGUGCGUACCAAUCCACUGCUUACUUUGCUUGUAAGCGGCCUUGUUAACCUCGAAGGAGACCGAUGGAGCAAACAUAGAAAAAUCAUAAACCCUUCAUUUCAUCAAGAUAAGUUGAAGGUAUAGAAUAGUGAUGGGUACUUAAGACUUAAUUUACAGAAAACAUGAUACUUAAAUCUAUGCUUUUCUGAUUUAGAAAUGAUUGGAUGCAGAAUAUGUUGCCAGCAUUUUAUCAAAGUUGUUGUGACAUGUUAAGCAAAUGGGAGAAGAUGGUGUGUACAGAAGGAUACAGUGAGUUAGAUGUGUGGCCUUAUCUUGUAGAUUUGACAAGAGAUGUGAUUUCCCGAUCUGCUUUUGGAAGCAGCUUCGAAGAAGGCAGACGAAUUUUCCAAUUACUAGAUGACCAACUCGUUCUCAGAAUCAAAUUACUACAAACUGUUUACAUUCCAGGAUGGAGGUAACCCUCAAUUUACUUGAAAAAGGUUGCAAAUGUUGGAAUUGGCUAAAUUCGUGUUUGUUUCCUUGAAGGUUUUUGCCCACAAAGACAAACAGGGAGGUGAAGAUGAAACACAAAGACAUAAAAGAGUCGCUCAGGGAAAUGAUAAAAAGAAGAGAGCAGGCAAUUAAAGCAGGGGAAGAGAGCAAUGAGGACUUGUUGGACAUACUUGUGGAAUCCAAUAUCAGAGAAAUGGAAGCAAAGAAAAAGGGGAUGAGCAUUGAGGAUGUGAUUGAGGAAUGCAAGCUGUUUUACUUUGCUGGCCAGGAGACCACUUCGGUCUUACUGGUGUGGACUAUGGUUUUAUUAGCAAGGUAUCCCGAUUGGCAAAGUAAAGCAAGAGAGGAGGUUUUGCAUGUUUUGGGUGACAGUAAACCUGAUGCUGAUGGCCUUAAUCGCCUCAAAGUUGUAAGUCCCUAGCAUGUCUUUUGAAGGUCCGAUCAAUAAGGUCGACAACUCAAAAAUUUGGUUUCUUUUUUCGCUAAUUCUACAGUUAACAAUGAUAUUGUACGAGGUUCUAAGGCUGUACCCAUCAGCGACUGAGCUAGGACGUUCCGUUCCAAAAGAAAUAAAACUGGGAAAUUUGUUGUUACCAGCAGGAACAGAAAUUUCGGUUCCGAUCCUGCUGAUCCACCAUGACAAAGAUCUUUGGGGCGAUGACGCACGGGAAUUUAAGCCAGAGCGGUUCGCGGAAGGGGUUUCCAAAGCAACAAAGAGUCAAGUCACGUUUCUGCCAUUCGGAUGGGGUCCUAGGAUCUGCAUUGCCCAGAAUUUUGCUAUGAUGGAAGCCAAAAUGGCGGUGGCCAUGAUUCUCCAACGCUUCUGGUUCGAGCUUUCCCCUUCCUAUGCUCACUCUCCUUGCAGCAUGGUAACGCUUCGUCCACAGCAUGGUGCACAGAUUAUUUUACAUAAACUUGGCUCUAAUUGAGUAGUUAUGUAAACAAAUCAUUGUGAAAAUAGUGUUUUAACGUAUCGUAAAAACUCCGGUGUCUGUAAUGGAACAAUUCCGAUGCAUGGAUAGUAAAUUUUGUGAUGUUUGGUGAAGUCCGAAAUAAUAUGCAGAACUUGAGUGUCCUGAAUGGAUGUAGUAUUUAAUGGUGGACAUAGUUGAGGGACUAAUGUGGGAAUUAUCAAACAAAGAAUUGCAUAUGGUACAAAGACUUGUAUGGAAAUUAGAGCAGGGGGAGUAGAAAAUGACUACUUCUACGGGCAUCAAUUGAGAAAGAUUUCCGGUGCAAAUGUUAGCAAAUUUUUGAGCUUCAGCCUUAAACAUUAGCAAGAUUGCAAUACCGGGAUUAUCUAGUGUUGGUUGCCCACUCAAUUGAGGGUUAAGUUGAAGGAUUUGUUGAAGCAAGCUAAGCUAUCAAUCAAGGUUGGAGCAAGCUUAGGAGGUCACAAUACAUCAUUAUUGCAUAAUUAUUUAAAUGAAAUUUAAUAUUUAAAUAAAAAAUAUUAAUAUAGUACCAACAAUAUUCCAUUUCUUUUAACCAAGUGUUUCUAGAUUAUGAAAUUCAUUAAUGAUUUGUAAAAUAUAUUGAUGCGAUCCCGGCCGCAUCAUGUUUCGAUACAACUCGAUGACCUCAGAAUUGACCUAAACUCUAGGGGCCCAAGUGCAAAAUGAAGCUUAAUUUCAGCUCAAUGAGCUCAAUUCUAGCUUCUUCAAGCUCGUCUAGUUCAACCCAAGCUCAUUUAGCUUAACUUCAACCCAUUUUUAAUUUGUUGGAAUAAGUAUUUAGUUGCUGGAAUAAAUUACUCAUCUUAGUUAAUUGAGUUCAUCUUAGUUAAUUAAGUUGUUGGAAUAUAUUACUCAUCUUAGUUAAUUUAGUUGCUAGAAUAAUUUAUUGUUGCAUGUGUUUUUAAGUUUAUUAAAUUCAGUUAAGUGUUAAAUGUGUUUAUUUACAGUUUAUUAACUAAGCUUGUUAAGUCUAAUAUGUGUUAAAAUGUGUUUAAUGUGUUUGUUUGUAGGUGACUAAUCAGUUGGAAACAAUUAUGUACAAGGGCUGUUACAAAGUGUUAAAUGCGACUAUUCAUUUGGAAUCGGUUACAUACAAGGGGCUAUUACAUUAUUUAAAGGAGAGCAUUAUACAUCAUUUAAAGGAGAAUUUAAAGCUUUUCUUAAAACUUUUUGGCUGCUCAAGAAUGAAAUCUAAGCAUUCAAGCUUAUUAAAUCAACUGAAUUAGAACAUUAAAUGAUCUUAUUGAUAGUUGCUGUUAUUUAGGCCUAGAAUUUCAAGAGUUUGUGCUUAGUGACUAAGUUAAUUUCAGCUCAUUAUUAGCUCAUUAAGCUGAACAAAAGUGACUAUUCGGCUAGGCCUCAUCUAGCACUAUAAAUACUUGUAAUCAGCUCAUUGUAAAAAAAACUUUUUGCUGAAUUUAUGCUAAAUUUGAAACUUGUGAGAUUUCCAAUUCUCGUUGUUCUUUCGAGAUUGAAUUGACUUAUCAAGUUUUCUUGUGGCAUCAUUCUUUCUUUUGUUUAAACCGAAUCUUAUCACCUUUUGGUGUGGCGUUCAUAUACAUUUGGUUCCUAUCACUUUUGAUAGUGGGUAAAGGUCAUUGCUGCUUUCUUUAAAUCGUAAAUCACCUAAGAGCCAUUUUGAGACUCGGGUCAACAAUCUAAUAUUGUUGGUUCAUUCUCGGUCUUAGCCAAAUUAUCCAUUAUUUACUUAACCAUUUUACCUACUACCAUUGUUUGAAGCCAUUUAUCCUAUUUUGUUUCAUUUAACUGAAACGAACUUAUCCUUACUCAAUUCACGAUCGGGUAAUCUAAACGACUCGAAUCAUUCCGAAACGAGUUCGUAUCAUAUAUCCUCCAUUCUUAUUGAGUGGGUGUAAUGAAAAUUCUCCUAUUUCUAAUUGUGAUAAAGUAGAAACUCUCUUUAGAAAAAAGGCAGCAACAUUUUUCAAUUAUUAAUUGAACACCUUGGUGAAUUUUCGUUUUUUUUCUUUUUUUCUUUUUACGGUUCAAUUUUCGUUUGGGUAUUGUAAUUUCAGGUUAAUCAUUGUUUGGUUGAUAUUCUCAACUUCAAUCUUUAAUUUACUUGAGAUUAUUAGUUGAUUGUUUUUGUUGGAAUUAUAUGAUUUUAUUGUGUAUUUAUGUUUUAAUCUUUUAGAAAGAAGUUUUUAUGUGGACUUUCAAGCUUCGUAAUUUUUAUUAUUUGCUUUACGUAAAAAAAACUCGUGGGAUACAAAAAUUCACAAAAAAACUUGCUAUAAGAUUACAACACAAAACCAUAAGCUUAUAACUCAACAAAAGCUAUCAAUAAAUAAUCUCAAGCUAGCUAAAGAGAAAUGUAAAGAAUAUCACCCAAACAGUAACUUGCUUUAAAAGUUAAAAAUCCAAAGUUAUAGUACCCCAAACGAAAAUCGAAUAUUAAACAUUAAAGAUCUUCGAUUCUACUAGCUAUUGUAAAAAAAAAAAAUUCCAACGGACACCAAAUAGACCUUUGAUCGAAGAAAAUACGAAAACUAGUCUGGUUAAAACUACAUGCCAAACUCACUUUUUCUCAUUUCUUUAACUUGCGGUGAAAUUCAAAACUAAGGUUAUAUUUUUUUCACUGAAAUUAACUUUAAAAAAAUUAUCUCUAAAAAAUGAUUGAUUUUUCAAAAAAGAUUGAUAUUUUUUUAUGUUUGGAUGAUUUUUUGUAAAAUAUAUUUCGUUGUUUGACAAAUUUUUUUGAAAUAAUUUUCUUAGAGUUGUUUUUAGUAAAACAAACAUAAGAUAGAUAUAUUUGUUACAAAAGAUUAUAGUAACAUUUUCUUUUGACAAUUUAAAUUUAUUUUAUAACCAGAUGAUAUUUUAUAAUAAUUAAUAUUAUAUAUAAACUUAAUAAUAAACAAUAUCUAAUUAAAACUUAAUUUAUAUUAAAUAUAUUAAUAAAGCUAAGUAUAAUUUAAACAAAUACUCAUGUUUUAUAUCAUUAAAAUAUUAAUAUAAAUAUUUUUCAAUAAUAUAUUAAGAAUAUUAUUUAAAAUUUAAAAUUAUUAUUUUUAAAAUUAAUUAUUAAAAUAAAAAUGUAAUAUUAAAUAAUUUAUCAAAAUGAUAAGUCAUAUUAAUAAUUUAUUAGAUUAUUAAAUAUAAAUAAUUAAAUAUGUAUAUUUAAUAAUAUUGAACAUUAUAAUAUUUUUUAUUAAUAUUUUAAUAUUAUUAAUAUAAUAAUAUUGGACUUGAUUCAAGUUAAUUUUUAUAUAAAAAAAUAAAAUUACAUGUAAAUGAACUCAUUUUCAAAAAAAUAACUUGUACUUUUAAAAAAGGUAAACUAAUUUACAGAAAAAUAAACUUAUUUUCUGUUAAUCUAUAAUUUUUUUUGUUAAUCAAAUUAUUUUCAUGAAAUAAAUAUAAAAAAAUACAAAAAAAAAACAGUUUCCAUAUUAACACUCAAUACUAAACUGUCAUUUUCCUCAGCUUCCCUAAUUUGUAUGUAGCAGUGAACGUUUGAUCGAAUCGAGUAAAAAAAAUUGAGUUGACGAGUCAUAUUUUAUCAUCUUAACUUGAUUUGAGAUUUUUUUAAAUCAAGUCAAAGACUAAGAGCACAUAAAUUUGAAACCUUAUCUAUUUGAAUUUGUUUUUAAAAAAAAAGAAAAAAAAUACUUUAGCAUGAUAAACUUGAAUUGUGAAUUAACUUAUUUAGAUCCCAAAAUUAUUAUUUUAUAAUUUUUUUAAAAAAUAUAAAUUUUAAAAUUUUUAUAAAUAUUUUGAAUUGAAUUUUUGUUGAGAGAGAGACCGAUCUAUCAUUUUCAAAAUUAAAAAAAAGACCAAACUAUAUUUACAGCAAUUUAUUAUUCGAAUUAUUUAAAUUAUAUAAUUUAACUCAAUUUAAAAUCGAAACUCGAAUAACUAAAUUUAAUUAACCCGAAAUUUAUUUUUUAAAUUUUUUAAAUCAAAUCGAAUUUUGUUCGCCCUACAUCAAUAACUUUGUAUCCAUAUCAAGCUUUUUUUUAAGCUAUAUAUAUUAUUUUAGAGAAUACAUGGUCACCACGGUUCAAUGAUUGAACACCACUCCACUCUCCACUUUUUUUUGUGGUUUAUCCUCUUAAUUUUUUGAGGAUAUCAUUUACUAAAUAAUUUAUUUUUUACAUAAAUUUUAAUAUAUAUUAAUAAUAAAUUAAUUCAAUUGGUAAUAUUUAACUAUUCUCAUGACUCAUUUUUAAUAAAGAAAAUAAUAAAAUUCAAUUAUGAUAAGGAGGUUUUAUUUUUAACAAAAAUUAUUUUUUAUAUUUCUAAGUUUAAAUCUAAAUUUAUACAAGUUAUUCUUUAUUUUAUAUCUAAUUAUUGUAAAACAUAAAUAAUAAUUUUUUUUUUUCCUUUUCAUGCUACCAAACAAUCCAUUAAUCAUUAAUUAUAUUAAAAUCUUUGACUUAUUAAUAUUUAUGGACAGUAAAUCGGAUGCUAAAGAAAUCUUAGUCAAACCAAAAAGAAAGAAGAGAUAGAGGUGGGCAAAGCUGAGGUUCAGCUUUCAUAAACACCUUCAUUUGAAGACACAGUUCUCAUACUCAAACCAAAAGACAUGGAAGUUUUCCUUGUAAUUAGAGAUCUGGUUUCACUGCUUGUUGUUGGGUUAUUAAUGAUAUGGGGAUGGAGGGCUUUAAACUGGGUAUGGUUGACCCCAAAGAGACUCGAAAGGUGCUUGAAACAACAGGGUUUUGCAGGAAAUCCUUAUAGGUUCCUUUCUGGAGACAUCAAAGAGAGCUUCACUAUGAGCAGACAAACAAGAGCCAAACCUAUGCCUGUUAGUGAUGAUAUUGAGGCUUAUGUUGUUCCUUUUCUUCAUCGAACUAUCAACAAUCAUGGUAUGUUCUACAUUAAUCUGCAAUUUCAUCGUGAUAUUCAGAUUUCUUUUUUUAUGUCUGAAGUUUAUUAGGGGAUAUGCAGGAAAUAAUUCAUUUAUGUGGUUUGGUCCAAGACCAAGGGUGACAAUUAUGGACCCUGAAAAAAUAAGAGAAAUAUUUACCAAAUUCAAUGACUUCCAGAAGCCUCAUUCCAAUCCACUGGUUAGAUUCCUUGUAGGUGGCCUUUCCAACCUCGAGGGAGACCAAUGGAGUAAGCAUAGAAAAAUUUUAAACCCUGCAUUUCAUCAAGAUAAGUUGAAGGUAUGUUGUAUUUGCACUUUUUUUCCUCUUUCAAUUCAAUCAUUUUGACUUACCUUAAUCAAUACCUUUAGGAGACUAAUUUUCAUUUCUAAUAUAUUUAUGUACUUCUGGUAUGGAAAUAAUUGCAGAACAUGUUGCCAGCAUUUUAUCAAAGUUGUAAUGAGAUGAUAAGCAAAUGGGAGGAGAUGGUGUCUAAAGAAGGGUACAGUGAGUUAGAUGUGUGGCCUUAUAUCGUAAAUAUGACAAGAGAUGUGAUUUCCCGAGCUGCGUUUGGGAGCAGCUACGAAGAAGGAAGAGGAAUUUUCCAACUAUUAGAGGACCUAACCUCUCUCACAAUCAAAGUUUUUCAAUCUGUUUACAUUCCAGGAUGGAGGUAAACCUGAACUUUAUCUUCGAGUUUUAAGGAAAAUGUUACAGAUGUUGAAAUUCGAAUCUCGGGUGUUUGUUUUCUUGAAGGUUUUUACCCACAAAGACUAACAGGGAGUUGAAGAUGAAACACAAAGACAUAAAAGAAUCGCUUAGGGAAAUGAUAAAGAGAAGAGAGAAGGCAAUUAAAGCAGGGGAAGAGAGCAAUGAGGACUUGUUGGACAUACUUGUGGAAUCCAAUAUCAGAGAAAUGGAAGCAAAGCAUAAGGGGAUGAGCAUUGAGGAUGUGAUUGAGGAAUGCAAGCUGUUUUACUUUGCUGGCCAAGAGACCACUUCGGUCUUACUGGUGUGGACUAUGGUUUUACUAGCAAGAUAUCCUGAUUGGCAGACUAAAGCAAGGGACGAGGUCUUGCAUG
rnacentral:lncRNA from 1 species